CUGCCGACCUUCUUAGUGUUACGCACAUGAGUCGAAGCCAAGCCGAAGCCCGCCACAGCCCCACCGCCACGUAGCUAUUCCCGUAGUUUCCUGCGCUAAACCUACGCUCUCACCUAAGUCACCAAGUACAGAGUCAGCCCACAUCUAGGUCCCACAAGUCCACUGACAGUCUACGGAUGCAUCCGGGGGAAGCUCUAGGUGCUAGCUCAGGAGUGUGCCUGUUGGCAUUCUCACGGCUGCACGCCCCACGCACAUGAAAAUUGACACACACAAGACCAUCACACCCGCGCGCCCCAAAAUGGCACGAUGCCGCCCUUACGCAUAUGGCACUGGACACGCGCUUCACGCCCUAAGGCGCUGGCAGCAACUGGCUGCCAUUAAGCAACGUAGGUGUGUAUCGCCGUAUUCAUGGCGCUACCGCCACACCGCUACCGCAUCACCGUCGUGCAUGGCUCCCCCGCCUGCGCCCCGUCCGCACGCCCGUUACACCCAGCACCCAUCGAGCGGUCCUGUAUCUAUCAGUGCCGACUGCCGGAUGGCGCUGCAACGGGUCGCGCCCGAAUCGCCAAUGCUCAUUCGAACGCAUGCCAGCACUCAAGCAUUUCCUGCCAAUGUCUCCUGGGCCCGAAAGCCCCAUGCAACCUGUGUCGAUGUUCCCCCCGACAUCCCCCAAGACCCUUUCCGUUCUUGGUCUGGAAACCCAGGCAGCCGUCAGAUGACAGCAACUACAUACACUCCCUUGCCGGCCCAUGCUUCUAGCAGCAUACUAUGAGCCUGCCUCGGCAACCCCCAAGACCCUUUCCACUCUCGGUUCUCCAGAGCCCGGAAACCCUGUGCCGAUAAGAAGGAGCCGUAAGGUACCGGGCGCGGGGAGGGCAGGGGCAGGGACGGGGAUCAGCUGCCCCUGAUCCCCGUCCCUGCCCCUGCCCUCCCCACGCCCGGUACCUUACGGCUCCUUCUUAUCGGCAUCCACGUCCACGUCCUUCUUCACGUCCACGUCCUUCUUCUUCUCAGCGUCCUUCUGCAGGCUGUCGCGGUAGGCCUGGUUAUCUGCAUGGAAGACGAUGUCCACCGGACUCUUGGCCUGCUCAGCGCGCACGCGAUCAAUGGCAGCGCUCUGCUGCGCGGCCUGGAUGCUGGCGUCCGCGCGCACGCGAUAAAUGGCAGCGCUCUGCUGCGCGGCCUGGAUGCUGGCGUCCGCGUGCUCGCGAUAAAUGGCAGCCCUCUGCUGCGCGGCCUGGAUGCUGGCGUCCGCGCGCACGCGAUAAAUAUCAGCGCUAUGCCUGAUGGCCUGAACCUCCGCUUUGAGCUUUAAUUCGGCCGCGCGAUUGGUGACGUGGUAGGCGACCUCGUAGGCGAGUCCAAAAGUGCCCACAGCAACGAAAGCGCCUUGAAAGACUUGCGCGACGCCGGGCUGAGGAGGCUGCGGAGCAGGCUCAGGAGCAGGCUGAACAGCCGACUGCGCAGGACGCGGCCCACGAAAACUCGCCAAUCCAGUCUUCCAGUGUAGCCACAUCAGCACAUCUGUAUGGCUAUCUGUAAAUACACUUGUCGCUUACUAAAAGAGUGCAGUAGCGCGUCUUCAGGAGCAUUUAGGAGGCCCGCGACCAGCCAGCUAAUGACUCCCCCGGAACGAGGGCGAUGGGCCCCAUGCAUAAGUUUCUGUUGAACUGCCACUGGCACCUGAAGGCCCAAUAUAAAAUCUCAACAAUAUUAUUUGCUUGGAGAUUCAAUCAAAAUCAGCCGGCGCUAUCUCAUGCUAUCUCGCGCUUUAGUGAGGGAGCGACUAAGCGUAUUGCUCGCUCGCUGACGCUAUUCUAUCACUAGCCUAAUAAUAUGUAUUGCGAGUAUUAACUACAGCAAUAACAAAUCGCCAAAAAGGAUGCCCGGAAGCAGGUAAGUUGAAAGGUCGCUGAACAGCUGAGGUACCAAUGAUUCGCGCUCUGGGUGAGUUUGCAGCCUUAAUUUGUGCAACAAUCAGGCCAUGGAAAGCGUAAGGUCCUUGGGGAGCAUAUUACGAGUCGUGCAAGCCAGGGCCAACCCUGUUGCAAGGAGACAUGCAAGUUGGUAGCCUUAAGGUCCUUACUGAUAAUUGUGUUAAUCAGCUUUGUAAUCAGCUUUAAGAUGGAAAAGGCGGUUGGAAUUUGCGAAAGUUUGCGGACAGGUCGCGCCCCCCUGGCAAUGCUCCUCAUCGUUCCCGAGCUGGGAGCUCCAUCAAGCACAAGAGCUGAGAUCAGUUGGUGCUGCAACGUCCACUGCCAAUCGCACCCCAAAGCGCGACGGGCGCCGAGCUCACAGCUCGCCUCUCCCGCGGUACUUAUAUGUGCUUUGGGCCACACGCUUACAGCUCUUAUCUUCGAGCUAGGAGCUCGCUUUCACAGUCGCGCCGACUACUAAUUUGCGUCCUCCGCACCACGCGACCCCAAGCUGACAGCUCAUAAUACACAUAUAGCGCUGAAUAACAAUGACAAUAGCUCUGACCGCGGUCAACAACGGGCCCGGCAAGCAACUGCGAACAUCCCUCAGUGUCACGAGGGGUCUUCAGCUUCAAUCAGCCGCACCACUCACGUCGCGGUGCACCACGUGCAGCGAGUGCAUGUGCCGCAGCGCCAGCGCCACCUCCAGCAACGUGGCGAACUCGGAGCGCAUGCAGAUGGCUAUUUGCGGCUUGGCGGGUUGGGCGGUGGGGUCUACGGGGUAAGGCGGGGGCAGCGGGGCAAGCGGCGCCGGGGCUAAGUAGGUGAGCCGGCAGAGUGAUAGAGCUACAGACGGAGUCUGCCGUGUCACACGCGCGGUCAUGAGACGCCUGACGGAGCACGCGGAGCAGCAACAGGGUCACAGAAGCCUUUUCCAUCACGCCCGCGUCUUGGCGAUGGCAGCCCGCCCGAUGAUCCGCGGACCGGGUCGCUGGCGAGGGUCGCGGCAGAGGUUGGGCUGUCCACGGGAGGCGCGUCUCUCAGCAGCAUCCUCAAAGCGGCAGAGAGCGGCGGAGGCUCGACGGCGAACGCCACGGCUUCGUUCCUGGCGUUGGAAGCCAAAAAGGGCAAGUGACGGGGCAUGAUGCUGAGCUGGCGCCAGCAGCGGCAGGCUGCUACCGAUAGCCCGGCAGCAGCUGCUGGCGGCUCCGCAGCGGUGUCUGCUGCCGCUACUGGCUCCGGGGACUUCCCUGGGACCGCCGGCACAGCAGUGGGUCAUGCCGGCAGCAGCAAGCGUACCGCGGCGUGUGGCGCGGGCUGGGCGUGGCGGUCAAGAGCGUGCUGUUUCACCUGGAGCCGGUGGGUGGUUGGGACGAGGUGUGUGCUGACGGGAGUCGCUCAAACCUGCAUGCAUGUUGGAAUGCUAUCUCCUUACGCCUACGUGGCUCUCUUGCCUCACAGGGCCCUGGCGGCGGCGCCCGGGACGUCAUCGCGCAGCGGGCGGUGUGGGGGGCUGCCAUUGCCAUGCUGUCAAGCCAGUGCGUGGAUUGCACGCCGCCCUGCCUGCACGCUGAGGAAGUCCACACACCUCCUGGGCACGCCCAGCUCCGCCGCGUUCUCCACCAGCUGCCCGUACGCCUCCGCCCACCGCUCCAGCACCUCGGCCGGCACGCCGCCACUGCCCCCGCCACCGCCCGGCGCUGCAGCCACACCCGCGGCCGCGCCGGGCGCACCCGGGAGGUGGUGCGAGACGCCGUCGGGUGUGCCGUUCAUCAGAGCGGGGCUGUGAGGGUGGGCCAGACAUGCAGCGGGAAGGGGCACAGCAAGGGGGUUAGAAUAAAUCUAUAAGCCAGUUGCUGUUGAGGACACCAUCGCGCGCCGCAUGUACCGUAUCCUCACCAUUGCCCAGGCGCCCGCAUCGCCCCCAGCGACCCCACUGCGCCUACCGCCCCCGCCGCUCCUAGCGACCCCACCAGACCCCACCGCCCCCACCGCUCCCAGCGACCCCAUCGGCCCUUGAGCCCCCCACCGCCACCACUGCUCCUAGCGACCCCACUCGACCCCAAUGCGAAGGGGGCGUUGGGCACGUCGGAUCGGAUGCAUGCAGCAGUACGAGUGCUAAAUGUGACCGCUGCGCAGGCCUGUGAGAUCCCUUUCUGCAAUACAUGCGCCCAUGAUGCUGGAAAGGCGUGGCAGGUACCUGUGCGCAUGUACUUGUGUGAAUUGGUGCCAGAUGCUGACACCUGUAGAACACAUUAGAGCAGCCUUGAAGCACGCUAAAAGGCCUUUGGUACGUAUACGUAGUCAGCCUGUAAAGCUGUUACGUGUGCCAAUGAUGCUGAAAAGGCGUGUCUGUACCUGAAAUUCUAUUGCGGCGGGCGCGGCGGGGGCGGCGGGUCGGGGGGUGGUGGCUGAGGGCAGCCUGCUGCACCGGGUCCAGGUCGGUGGCGUUUGUGUAUGUGUGUGUAUGUGUAUGUAUGUGUGUGUGGGGGGGGGGGGGUAGAUGCCGGCCCAAUCUAGGGGGGAGCGAGAGAGGCCCACACGGACUCAAGUAGUAAUCGGAAGCUAGGGGCAUGGUGGCAUGGGCGGUGGCAGGGUGGACGGAACCCUGAUAGCAGCAGGCCCCGAUGGCCCCUACUUGAUGCGUGUCCUUCGCCAGUCCGCUCCACCCAUACUCCCUCCUCACCGCCCCCACUGCACCAGGUGUUGGAGGUGGGUCUGGACGCCUGCCUGGCCGCUAGCUGCCUGGCCCUGCAGCAGCUGGCGGAGCUGAGGCAGCAGCAGCGGCAGCGGCACCAGCAGCGGGUGGAGCAGCAGGCGCACGCGCUGGCGCCGGCAUGCCCACUGCCUCCAGCUACUGCCACUGCCGCAGCAGCAGGCUACGUCGGGUCGGGUCGGGUUGGGCGCGGGGAGGGCGCGCCAGGCGCUGGCAGCAGCGGCAACACUGCUGGUCCCCCGGGAACAGUGCCCGCCGCAGCACUGGCAGCAGCGGCUGUAGCAGGAAGCCAGGACUGCAGCUUGGGUGGCACUGGCCGGCAGCAGGGCAGCAUCCGGACGCUGAUGCCGCCGCCUGACUCGCCGCCGCCACCGGGGCGCUGCGGUGACCCCACGUGCCCCGGCUGUGGGAGCGGCUGCGCGGUGAUGUGAAGUGACUCUAUCGAUAGACUGGUCGUGCUGUAUUGCACUAGGCUGGCCAUUGGCGGUGCCACGAGGUGAGGCAUUGUUUGGCACGCUAUGGCAUAUGGUGGCACUACUCCAGAGGCACGUGGUAUCCAGAGAUGUGUGCAUGAUAGGUGAGGCGACGAUGGGCCCGCAGCUCUAUCUAUAGGAAGAGUCCAAGAAUGGUGAUCAAGCCUAGUUGCUCUUGCUGCAUUCUUGCUGAGAUGCGUUCCGUGGCAAGGGCUUAGUGGCUCACGCUCUCGCCAUUGUCAUGCCCCAACGUGCGUGCAUGCCGCGUGGUGGGACAGUGGCCGUCAGGUUGACGAAACCUUUGCAAGCUGCACAGGUCGUGACACCAUAUGCCUGUUCAAGACUUCAUGUUCCACUCAUCAGGCCAUUACAACAGGGGCCAAACUCUCGGCAUCACCUAGGUAGUUCCUCUCAACACUGCACCUGCAUACUACACCCAACCAACCUUGCAGAACCCUUCAAAUAACCGCCCAAUGCUCGAACUUCUAUGCGGCACAGUCUCGCACGUGCCGCCCACAGGCUACACUUGCCGGCAGCCACUGUGUGUGAGCCCAUCUUCAGGGCUGCCCCAACACCGCGUCGGCUCCUGCUUUCGUAUCGCCCCAACCUGCAAUUAAUGAUCCCGCGUCAUGGCCAAUUGUUCACGUCAAGACUUAUGGCACGCAGUCCGGCGCUCUUCCUUCACACUUCCUUGCUAUUCCUGUAGUUUCCUGCGCUAAACCUACGCUCUCACCGAAGUCACCAAGUACAGAGUCAGCCCACAUCUAGGUCCCGCAAGUCCACUGCCAGUCUACGAAUGCAUCCGGGGGAAGCUCUAGGUGCUAGCUCAGGAGUACGCCUGUUGGCAUUCUCACGGCUGCACGCCCCACGCACAUGAAAAUUGACACGCACAAGACCAUCACACCCGCGCGCCCCAAAAUGGCACGAUGCCGCCCUUACGCAUAUGGCACUGGACACGCGCUUCACGCCCUAAGGCGCUGGCAGCAACUGGCUGCCAUUAAGCAACCUAGGUGUGUAUCGCCGUAUUCAUGGCGCUACCGCCACACCGCUACCGCAUCACCGUCGUGCAUGGCUCCCCCGCUUGCGCCCCGUCCGCACGCCCGUUACACCCAGCACCCAUCCAGCAGUCCUAUAUCUAUCAGUGCCGACUGCCGGAUGGCGCUGCAACGGGUCGCGCCCGAAUCGCCAAUGCUCAUUCGAACGCAUGCCAUGCGCCCGCAUCCAGUUCCUAGCUAAGUAGUCCAUCCUCAUGCACGCACGCCACAGCGUGCCAGCAGGCACGCCAGGCCCCGGGCUCGCCAAACAUACCGCCUGCACCUGAGCCCUGGCCUCUGUCUGCCGCCCUCACCCCUCCCGAGCACCGACUUUGCUGCACUGCCACAGUCUGGCUCCGUCAGCGCUUGCCCGCCGCUUUACCACCACCACCACCACCGCCGCCGCUGCCGCCACCACUUAUAACGCCGCCCGCGCCUCGUCGUUCAGGAUGUACUCAAUCAGCUGCUCCUCCGCAUCGUCCAGCGCAUUGCCGCUGCCCUUGCCGCGCGCCUUGAGCGAGUCGGCCUUGGUGCUGGCCCGCACCCCCUGGCUGCUGUUGCUGCCGCGCACGCUCUGGCUGCUGUUGCCGCGCGCCGGGGUGGAGGCACCCGAGUGGAUCAUCAUCACGUCUGCGCCGCCCUCCGGGUCAGGCAGCGUGCCCGGCAGCGGCGGCUCGCCGCGCGGCCCCCGCGCCGGCGAGCCCACGCGCAUGGGCGACGCCGCGCGAGCGCCGCCGUCGCUGCCGUUCGCGGUGUUGAGGCGGCUGCCACGCGGCGGCGUGCGGCCGCGCGGCGGCGUGGAGCCGCCGGGCGUGACGGGCGUGCGCGGCGGCUUGCCGAAGGGGUCGCCGGCGGAGCCGGGCGGCGCGCCCACGUCGGGGCGGCUCCCGCCGCGGCUGCCGACCACGGUGAGCGAGGGCAGCGCGCCGAAGCGGCCGCUGAUGGGGGGCAGUGCGCCCUUGGCGCCGGCAGACCCGGGCGCCUUGAUGGUGAUGCCGGGGCCCACAGGCACCUCCUCCGCGGCGUUGCCGGCGCGUGCGGUGCCCGGAACCACGCCAGUGGCGAUCUCCUCAUCCACCUCCGCAAACCGCCGAUGGAGAACCUGUGCAGCGCAAAUGCGGUGCGCGUGUGUGGGUGGCGUCAGAUGGGGUGCAGCGUCAGCCCAAUGUCCUGAGGCGUGUGUUGCAGGCCCAGCUGGAAACACUCCCGCAGGCCCUCAACCCAGUCUGUUACAUGCCUGCACGCCCAUCCCGUCCGUGACCUCCAGCCUCUCAGGCACGCACCUGCAGCAGCGCGGGCUUGACGCCCGCGCCCAGCAUCUUCUCCACCUCGAAGGGCUGCCCGUUGGCCUUGCGGUUGCGGUACACCUCCGCCACCACACGCACAGCCGCCGUGCGCACCUGCGCCAAGAGGAGCAGCAUGACCGCUAUGCUCAAGCACGACCCGCAACCACGCGCGCGCACAGCCCGUUCGAACCCAUCCUCGUGUGCCUCACCAGCACACACGCUCCCCUCAGCCCCCAACGAUACUGUAGUCCAUGGACGCGCGGCCUGCAGUCUGGUGCUACGCCCCGAGAAUGCUCCGCCCGACUGCACCAUAAGCGGCAACGAGCAACGCCCGUACGCUUGCCUCCUUCCCUUCCCUGCUGCCCUCCUCAGCCGCCCGGCCGCCCACCUUGUCGUCGGGCAUGUCCAGCGCGGGCCGCGCGAACUUGACCACCUCCUCGUCCGCCAUGGUGUGCUUCGGGGCACCCCCGCCCGGACCCACACGGCCCGCCGUGCCGAAACCCAGCUGCUGCUGCACCUGUGUGUGACCCCAGGGUGCACAGCGUGAGGUUUAAAGCACAAUAGAGGACAUCCAACACAGAGCCAGCACACAGCCGCCAGGUCCGCCCCGUCCCCCGGUCCGCCCCGUCCCCCCACUUCAUCUGCCAGCGUCCACCGGCGCAAUGACCCUGAGCCUGCUUUGGUACGGUACGGUGUACGCCCUCGACCCGUGCGCGCAUCCCUCUCCCUCGUCCACCCCACGGCCUGCACUUGCCUGCACGUUGAGCAUGCACGUGAUGAGCUCCAGCCGCCCGCACAUCUGCGAGGCCGCCGCGCUGCCCUGUUGGCUCUUCUUGGGGAUGGGGCUCAGCGCGUGCGGCCCUAGGAAGGCCAGGCCUAACGUGGGCUGGUUGGCCAGUGUCAGGAGCGCCUGGAUGGAUGUCUCCUGCACAGGGUGUGGGGAGGUAGGGGAAGGGGUGGUGGCGGUGAGCCUCAUGCCGCCAACCCGUGCAGCGAUGCGUGCCAUGAGCGGCAUGAAUCAUGGUUGCCUCGUGCGGUGCGUGAAAAGCGCCUGUCACUCCGUUUCUACCGGCAGGUUGCUGCUGGACCAUUCCAUAUGGUGCCCGCGACCCGGCGCACCUGGAUGCGGCUGUUGUUGUUCCCCACGCGGUGCAGCAGUGUGGGCAUGAUGGGCUCCAGGCCCUGCGUGAGCACGCUGUAGGGCAGCUGCGGCGCGUAGCUGGCCACCAGGGUGGACAGCAGCUCCAGGGCCGAGUAGAAAAGCGGGGCCACCUUGUCCCUAGGGUGGGGUAAGAGGCAGGUGCGCGUGUCAGGGCGGCCGUGAGGGCAUGUGUGUGUUUUCGCACCACCAGGCACCAGCAAGAACAGGCGAGCUCCCAUCUUGGUGGGUGGUUGCUCAGGCCCAGCCUUGCAAAGCCUCGCAAAGAUUCACGAAGCCCCGCCAAGUUCCCGCCCCGCCCUGUCCUGGCCUUACUUGAGCGCCUUGUCCAGCAACGAAGACACUGUGUUCCAAAUGUCCUCUGGCGCCCGCUCCGCGUUCCAGCGCGCGUUGCCCAGGUUGCGGGUCACCGCCUGCAGCGCGUGCUCGCGCGUCUUCCAGUCCGGCGAGUGCAGGUUGCGCACCAGGCUCUCGCCCAGGCAGGGGAUCCAGCUGGAGGCGUCAUCGGGCACUGUGACCGCCGCGGGCAGGUCGGCUGCGAGUUUCGUGCCGUCGGACUGCGCGCCCACAUAGUCGAUCUUCUUGGGUGCUCGCCGCGAGGGGCUGGCCACAUCCCCGUUUCCUCCCGGUGAUGAGGCGGACUCCUCAACCGGCGCGGAUGCUUGGCGCGAGGGUUGCGCAACCACGACGGUAGGUUUCUGCGCAGGCGAUGGCGCCGUGUGCCACACACGGUUUCAACGGGCGAAAGCGCAUGCGCUGCAAACUCCCGCUUGGUGGUUGCUUAUUGCCAAGACAAAAUCAAGUAAGGCGGCACAUUCGCUCUUUGCAGUCCGGGCACGAGCCGCGGCUCGUUCUAAGCGAAUGCCUGCCAAGCCCUACCGUCGCUUCCGACGGAGACGUCGUAGAUGCGGGAGAUGGCGAUUCUGCCGCUGCAGAAACCGCAACGGGACUUGCUUCGGUCGCUUUUGCUCGGGGGCCGGGGGCGUCGGGCGUCAUUGCUCGCCGAGCAGGCACUGGCUCAGGCGGGGACGUCCCAUCUAGCCCCUCUAGCCGCGUCGGGGCAGAGCCAGGCUUGCGCUGCUCAGGGGCCUUGUCUUUCUUCUCUUUCGAAAAGAGCGACCCCAUUUUCGCUAAACCGAAGCUCGCUAGUUAGGAACGGGGAGACUCCUUUCACGUCGCGCCAGUUAUUUGUGACCGAUAUCCCGCGUUCCGGGCGGCAGCGCUACACUAACUCAGCCAUGCGCGGACCAACUCGCUCAGGUUCCUGUCAGGCAAGUACAGUAGUCUAUGGACCUUGGCGUGAGCGUGAUUUGGUGGUCGAUAGAUUUGUGGGCGAAAUGUAGCACAAGUGCAGCUUGGUUGGGGCUUGGGAAGAAAAGAGCGAGUGCAUGAGCCUGCCGAUCUUCGCAAACAAGUAGACUUGCACCCGUCCAUGUCCACAAAAUGUGCUUACAUAUCGACACCAUCACAUUCGUAGCCAUUGAAGUGCAAGCGGUGCUGGCGGAGCUAGUCGGACAGGCAUGCGGCCAUGUCGCCGCACUGUGCGUGUCCAGCGAAAUUCGCAAGCAUUAGUUGCAUAGCGAUACUCUCAUAAACAACACAUGGACGUCUUGUCUACCACCCUGCCAACCCUAGCCGACCCCACGCCACGCGCCCAUGGUCGCCCGCACGCCUUCCUAGGUCCGUGUCCACACGGCAGUGUGAAGUCCCUGAUCUUGCAGGUGACGCUAAUACCAUAUCGUCAUCCGUAAAUCACCACUGGUAAACCUACACUGUUGACAGCUGCUGCGCAAAGCUCUUGAGCCAUGCGCUAUGCUGUUGCAGCAGCGACCGUGCCAGCUCUGCGUUGUUGGCGCCUGAUGCCGAUGCCGCGGUGGGCGACAUGUUGCGCCCGGGUGAUACGGAGCGGCGGCCCGCCGCCGCCGCCGCAGCCAGGGCGCCCGGGCUGUUGGCGGCCGUGUUGGCGGCCUUGGUGCUCAGCGACGCCAACUGCUCGCGCAUGCGAUGGAGCUGCAGGUACAUGGAGGGCCAAAUCGUUAAACACCGUCUUGAACGGCCUUACUGUGACCAUGGCAGCAUGGGACGUACCAAUCAUGCAUGCUAGGAGCAAUCCCUGACAGCAUCCCGAGAAGGCCGCACGCACCUGCUUGCUGUCCUCGUUGAGGCGGUGCACCUGGUCCUCCAGCCCCUGUUUCACGUUCUGCAGCAUGGCCAGCCGCUCCUCGCUGAUGGGGCCGUUGGGCGCCGACAUGGCGGCCUUCAAGUCCUCCUGCGGACAUAGGACAACAUAGCGGCGCGGCAGUGCAGUGGAGAUGUGAGAGAUGAGACGCCUAGCGAGUGAGCCUGACGGCAUGGGGGCAGGGUACACGGAGGGAGCAAAGACACAGCCGCUGCAUCGCUCCCACCUUCCAGUCGUUCCGCGCCGCCUGCAGGAUGCUGGAGCGCUCCUUGAGGUACGCCUUUUGCAGCUUGAGGUACACCCACGCCUGCGACGGGGAUACGGGGGCGCCAGCGCCGAGCACAUGAUUGCCGGUGUGCUAAUGCCUGUGCCUGUAGUGCCCACGCUUGCCGGUGUCAUAGCCGGUGUCAUAGCCGGCCUGUCCUGCCCGAGCUUACCCGCGAUAAAACGGGGUCCUCCGCAGCUGACUGCGGUAGCCCCAGCGUGGACCAGUCGCCCUGCAGCUGCUGGGAGGCCUGCGGCGCGAAGGCGGCCGAGGCGCGCAUCCGCUGCGGUGACGUGUUGGGCGCAGGCUGCCCCAUGCCACCGCCCGCCGGCCCUUGCUUGGCUUGUGCCGCCACUGCGCGAGAGGAUCCGGAAGGAAGGAACAGUUCAGUCAUCAAAUGCAGCAACAUAGCUAGCCACUAAAGAACACAUCUUCACGCACUUACGCGGCACGAGCAGCUGUAGGCUGCGAUGCAGGUUCUCCGCCAUGGCCGCCAGCUCGGGCAGGUUGUUGUGUGCGCUCUGAGCUGCCGCCGCUGCGCUCUGGGCUGCCAUGGCCGCGGCGAAGUGUGCCGCCGCGAUGUCCGCUGAUGUGCCGCUCUGUCCAUAGCUCUGCCCGCCGUAGCCCUGCUGCUGCCCAGCGGCGGAUCCCAAGUGCUGCGAGUGCUGCGCCUCUUGCGGCAUCAUGAGCGACUGCGGGUACAUCUGCUGUGCGCUGGACAGGUAAGAGGGCGGCAGCAAGCCGGGCUGCAUCGAGCCGGGCAGCUUGGGACUGAGGGCGGGCAGCGGCCCGGGCCAUGCAUUCGUGGACGCGUGUAGGUCGUCUGUAGAGAUGCCCGGGGCGCGAGAGUUACUGAACCCCGGGUUCGGGGACGGCGCACGCCCGGCUGCGGCUGCAGCCGCCGCAGCUGCUGCAUGCGCAUGCAUGCUGAGCAGGUUGCCAUUGCCGCCUGCCGCGGCGGCAGCUGCGGCCGCAGCAGCCGCGGCUGCGGCGUGUAGGUCGGGGUGCUGGCCCAAGCCGGAGGUGCUGGGCACGGCAACCAGCGGUGGGGGCUGCUGUUGCUGCACACGGGUGCGGUGCAAAUCCCGCUCGCUCGCCACCUGGGCCUCCACGUCCGCCCGCAUGGCCGCCAUGCGUGCGGCCAGCAGGCUGCGGCGCUCCGCCUCCACGCUGUCCUCCACCGCCCGCAGCAUCUGGCCGCGCUUCAGCUCCAGAACCUCCUUGCCUGCGGAGCAGUAUCACACCAACGUUUAAAGGCCAAAGUUAGCAGGUGCAGCUGCCGGGAGAGGCCACAUAAGGCUUGCAAGCACCGGCUGGCGCACUCACUCUGGUCCGCCACGGAGGAGUACAUGUUGUCGGUGUCGGCCAGCUCCUUCUGGCGGCGCAGCAGCUGCGUGGCCACGCCCUCCAGCGCCGCCGUGCGCUCCGCCAGCUCCGACCGCACGGCCCGCAGCUCGGCCUGUGAGGCCGCCAGCGCGGACCGCACCUGCUCCAGCUCGGCGGUGCGCGCCGCCACGUCUGCCUCCAGCUGUGCGCGCUGGGCCUGUGGGUGCGGUGAGGGAGCCAUACGUUUACUGGCUAGGCACCACGCAGGCUGCCAUGUGGUUGGCUUGACGGUCCAAGGUUCAUAGGGCUGAUGCGCUGCAGUGGUGCGGUGGUGCUCACAUGCGGCUGCGUUCCAUUGCGCGCGGGCCUACCUUGAGACUGUUGCACUGCCCCUCGGUGCGCGACAGCUCCCCGUUCGCGGAUGCCAGCUGUGAGCGCGAGGCAUCCAGUGCGCCGCGUGCCACCUGUGCGGAAAUGAGCGCAAAGUAAGUCCUAUACCUGCGCAGGUGGUGCACCUUACGUCCUGGUCAAUUCGCAAGUCCGUCCCGAUACAGUCGUUAAUCUUUACCUCGAGCUGCUUCUGCAGGCCCUCAUACUCAAAGGUCGCAGCGCUCUUCAGGUCCUCCACCACCCUGAUCUCCUGCGAAGGCAGGACAUGAGCACAGCCAAGGUCAGCGUUCCAACUGUUACAACCGACUUGUGUAACGUCGGCCGUAAAAUAGUCUUCCUCCAUGCUAUUGCUAGCUGCAGCACAUAGCUCCCCGCCUUACCUUGGCCUGCAGCGCCGUCCGGGAUGUGGAUAGCUCCGAGGUUAUCUCCUGCAUUGCGCGUGGCACCAGCACCAACAGUCAGUGCUAUCCGAGAAACCCGAGGACAGGCAGCGUACUUGAGCACGUACUCCCAGCCGGACCCCUUCCUUCCUGUCCUACACUCUCCCUUGCCCCGCUGACCUUGAGCUCGGCCUGCUUGGAGUUGAGCUGCCGGUUGACUGCCGCCAGCUCGUCCUCCUUGGUCGUCAGGUCCUCCCUCAGGCGCCGCAUGGUGGACUGGGUGGCGCUCACCUCGGCAGACAGCUGCUCAGCCUGGUCGCGCAGGGACUGCAGGCGCGGGAGGAGAGGAAAGCGCGAGCCAGGUUACAUGCUGGAUUUGUGUUUGGCAAUGCUUUGCCAGGAUAUUAGGCGGCCGCUUCUGUGGCAAAUGCAGCGGCGCCACCCACCCGCACGCGGCUCUGCUGCUCCUGGUACUGCGAGUCGGCAUCCGCACGCCUGGACUCCGCGUCACGCAGCUGUAGCAAGGGCCAGAGACAGUCAAGGUCAGGGCCGGGCCUCAAGGAAGACACGACAUGGACACAUCGGUACAUGCCCCAGUCCAUCCUCCGCCAGAUGCCAGCGCACCUGCUCCUUGGCCAGCUCUAGCGCUGCGGUCUUCUCCCGCAGCUCCGCCGCCUUGCCGGCAGUGCUGCUGACGAUGGUCUCAAACUCGGUGGUCUUAGCCAGCAACUGGGUGUUCACCUACACUCGCGGAUUAGGCAGAGUAGGCACACUUAGGUAUCAGCUGAGCACCACAGGCCAGUCUUAAGCCGGUGCACUUCCGUACGAAGCCGCGGUAGCAUGAAAUCCAGUCAAGCCCCAAUACCUUCUGAUCCGCACUGAUAAGCACACCGGACAAACGCAGGGCCCACCUCCGAAAGCUCGGCCCGCUUGCCACGCAGCUCCAUCUCCGUGUCGGCCAGGGCCGCGGAGUGCGCGCUGGACGACUGCACGCGGCAAGCAGAACAGCGGUGGACAGGGACGGGUGUGACUGCUGACAAUAAGACGUGUGCUAAGUUGUGCUCAUCAAAUCGCAUGCUGUGAUGCGCCCACCCUUACACCCCGCCCUCCCACUCAGUCGCUCACACCUACCAGCUCUCGGUCGUUGGAGUUCAGCUUGAAGCGCUGCUGCCGCACGCGGUCCUCCAGUUCCGCCAGCUCGGUCCGCUUGGAGGCCACCUGCAUUCGUCGAAUUGGCGGAUGCCGUGCAUUUGCCAAUUCCCAGUAGGACUCACAUGCAAUGCCGCACAACAGUACCAUUCUUUUGGCCGCAACACAGCAGCCUCGUUGCCCGAACCCGGCCAGCCAUAAUUGGGGUUCCCGCUCCUUGCACUCACCUCCUUCUCCAGCCGUGCGAGCUCCACCGACUUGUCCGUGAGCUGCUCCUGCAGCUUGGCCAGGCUCUCGCCGCGCAUGCGUUCCCGCUCCGCCGCGAGCUCACUGUCCACCUGCUUCUGCAGCUGCGCCUUGGCGUCAUCAUACUGCUUGCUCAGCGCCUCCUGCAGCUGAGCCAGCCGCUCCUCCGCGCGCCGCCGCAUCUCCGCCUCGCUGGGGGCAGUGCGCCGCGACACCUCCGCCUCCUCCUCGUCGGCGUCACGCUCCCGUUCCCGCUCGCGCUGCUGCGACUGCUGCAGGCCCGAGUUCGGCGUGGAGGACGGCACGCCGAAGGCGAUGGGGCUGGGCUUGGAGGUGGACGCCGCCGGGCCAGUCACCUCGCGCUGGGUAGACGGGUGUGGGUCCUCGUUGUCGUGGUCACUCUGAUAGCGCCGGUGGUGCUGGACCGGAGUGCCGCCCGAGUCGGGGCCUCCUGAGCCGGCGCUGGCACCCAUACCACUUCGCGCCGCGGCAGCGGCGCCCGGCGAGAUGAGCUUGGCGGAGGCGGAGGGGCCCAGGUCGUCCGCGCUGCGAAUGCCGGGGUCUACCAUGUCCUCCUCCACACCUUCCUCAAUCUCGUCAUCACCCUCAUCCACCUCAUCCUGUUCUUCGUCACUGUCCAGCCCCAGGCCGCUGAACUCGUCCGCCACCUUCUUGCUGCGCCGCAGCGCCGAGCCCGGCCCCUUGGCGCCGCCGGCGCUGCCCACCCCACUGCCGGCGUUGGAGUUGCCGCCCCACGACACGCGUGCGCUGUUGACGCCACUGCCCGGCCCACCACCCAUGCUGUUGUUGCGGCUAUCGGCGUUAAUACCGGAGAGCACGCUGGGCGGCGGCACGAAGCCCGCAGCCUUGGAGCCACUGCCCCCGUCCGCCGGUGACCCGCCGAGUGACAAGCGCUCUGGUUUCAACUGGCUGGCACCGCCCGCCUCCGGCGGGCCGUUGAGUGAGAGGCGCUCAAGCUUGACAGGCCCGGAGGCCGACCCCGGCGCUGGCAGUGGGUUCAGGGCGGGGCCGCCGCCGAUGGACAAGCGCUCUAGCUUGGGUGCCCCGCCCAGCGGGUUCCCACCCAGUGACAGUCGCUCGGGCUGGUCCCUGCUGGCGCUGUUGUUGUUGCCGCCAAUUGAAAGGCGCUCCAGCUUGGGCUUGCUGCCCAGGGGAUUGGACGCGCUGAGGCCCGAGGUGUUCAUGCCGCCCUCAUCCGGCAGGUCCAGGUUGUCGUCGUCACUGCACACGUGGUACCGUAUGAAACGCAGCGGUCGGUGGUCAGGUACCCUACACCUGGCUACGUUCCCCGCUCCUGUAGCGGUCCCACUGACCUGUCCUUCGCCUAGAGCCGAAACCGCACCUGGCAUCAAAGUCCACCAGCUCCUCAAUGUCGUCGUCAUCGCUCUUCUUCUUAGCAUCCUGCUUGCCCCCUGCUGAGGCCCCGCCCACAGAUGAGGCCGGCGACUUGUCCGCACCACCGUCUCCCCAGCCGCUGCGUGCCUGCGGCUGCAAUGCCUGCGCCUGGCCUGCCUUGUUUGGCGGCUGGCCCAGCUUCUUAGGCGGGCUGCGAUCAUCAUCGCUGUCAAAAUUGCUGCUACUGCUGCUUGACGAUUCGUCGCCGCCAUCGAGGUUGCCCUGCGGAAUGAGUAAUGAGCAAGACCCGAAUGACAAGGGGGCGAUAGACGUGCUCUACUGGAUCGCGAAGCCGCGAAUUUGACCCAAACCGCCUCAGAUCCCUACCCACGCACCUGCAUCUUAUCCUCCGCCUCCAUCUGCUGGCGCCCCUCCCGAACAAAAUCCUGUCCGGGGCAACCAGAGGUUGGCACCGUUUCUAUCAGUUUCGCUUCAAAACACGAGCAGGCAAACCACCCCGGACCUAUUCCUCCAUACCUACGGUAACCAUACACUCCUGCUGACUACGAUCCUUCCCGCGCCUUGAUUGCAUGAGCUGUACGGCCUCUCAGUCCCCGGUCCCUGAUUUGCUCACCGACGCCUUGGAGCUGCUGAGUCCCAGCGGGCUGGGCACUUUGGUCUCCGCGCCCGUACGCUUCAGGCCGCCGCGCUGAGAUCCGGACUCCAGGGACGCACGCGCCUUUGUUAUCUGCAGCUUUGCCUUCUCCUCCUGGUACACCUUGCUGUGAAGCACAAGCACGUAUCGAGCAAGGGGCAGGUGGCGUGUGUUAAUGCGGCAAACACCAGGGCGUGUACCAAGUAACAGCCUGCAACUUGUUUGUUCAAGGUGUCCCAACCGAGCCACCGCGUCGCCAACUUCAAAACCAGCACCUGCCAGUCCCGGCAACCUCUUACCGGUAAUGCUCAUCGCAGGGGUGGUCCCAGAUGCUUUCCCCCGACUUGAAGUUGAAGUAGUAGAUGUCGCCGGUAGGUGUUUUGCACGGCUUCCAUCCGUCCGGCAGGGGGGACUUGAGGCCCUCCCGAGCAAUCCAGAACAGCUCCUGUGAGCACAUUCAGGCGUGCACGGUGAGCUCACGUCGCAGCGAUGCCGGCGACGGCAAGUAGAGGGGAAAGAAACGUCGACGACCGGCAACAUGCGCACCUUUUCCGUUUCCGGGUCUAUGCCCAGCCACUGAGCAUACUCCAGGAUUUCUGAAAGCAGUAUCGAAGGCAGGAUUAGUUUGCGGAGCAGAGCGCACCCACGCCGAUUGGCUUUGACUCCAAGGAAUGGCUCUUGCCUUGUUCAGUCGGCUCGUAAUUCGGGUCCACUUCUUCAUCGAGCACGACCUGGCCAUCUGGCGUCUGUUCACCAGCCUCCAUUUCGCUUUCUCAGGCAGAGCGCUACCACAUGCACUUUGUGCUCGCAAGGAGCAGUUCACUCGCUAAGAAUCAAGUCAGGUCUUGCUACGAAACUCAAAACCUUUGAGCAGUAAGCCUCUGAGACAGGCUUGCUGCUUGUACGUUUUCGAGGUCAGGGCGGUUUUGUGGAACACGACUACGAGGGAAUUCAGUAGGAUAGCAUGAAAGCGUCCACCGCAAGUGUGUUUGUGCAUGUGUGGUGGUGGAGGUGCCUUGCAAUGUUGCGGUGCGUUGACCGUGCCAUUGACCUGCCGGGCCCGUGUAACCGCCUGAGGCCGCCCCACACGACCCAUCCUCGCGGAGCCCCGCCUGCCCGAUUCACUGGGCCCUGCAGCUUUUAAGUCCGACAUCGCAACACAGCUAAAUCGCUGUCAUCAUCUUCGCCGCCGCUCACACCUUCACUGGCUGCCGUGCCAGCUUCCCGUUCCGCUCUAUUGGCCCUGGCCAAGGCCCUGGUCCUGACACCGUUGACACGGUGGCUGACAACUGGUAAGCAGCGGACCUGCUGGUUCACAUACUGACAACUUGACUGGAACUCUUUUGCCACCGCCGUCCGACUGUCCUAACACCUUGUGAAGCGUUUAUAGUGCCUACGUGCCCCACCUGGCGUCCUGGCCCCACACGGCCACACCAACUUACGCACAAGGCACAAUGACCUGGUGCGUCCAGCCGCCCACAGCUCAGGUGUCAAAUGAAGUUACGUACCCGACCGCAUCGUGCGAUGUGUAUGCGAUAUGCCCCCGCGGAACUACCGCCUUGCCGAAUCUCUGAGAGUUUGAAGCCAUACCCAGCCAAGGCAGCCCUCACCUCUCCAAGCGGCUGGGCCCCUAACAGUGGCCUCACCUGUAGAGAACCCGCAUGCCAUUUGCUUGCACAGCCAUUUACUCAUCCUGCUCACGCCGUACCACGCUGACCAACGUAGACUGUGAGGAAAUCUCCAUUCCACGCUGUGGUCCCAUUAGCGCACCACCGGCAGCCCCUGGCCGGCCCAUAGGUCGAAGCCGCCUGCCAGGUUCACCAGCUCGCAGUAGCCCGCCUGCGGCGCGUCAGCGUGCGUGUCCAGGGGAAGGGGUCAGGGCAGUAAACCACGAUAUAGGCAACUGACUCAGACGUCAGCGUCGCAGUGCAGCAAGAGUUUGGUGUCGAGGGGCAGGCACGAUGGCACACAAUCAACCAAACAUUCGCCUAUCAUGCAUGCGUACUGAUCUUUGUGAGCUAUCCAACACAAUGGUCAGCCUGUCAAGGAUUAGCAGGUAUUCGGCCAAGACACUAGAAUGCAAGGCACGGGGAACACACAGCGGGUGGACCGUGGGAGUUGCGGGCAUCUGCCCCAAAGAGUGGAUGUAGAACGCUAUCAAGAGCCGCGAUAAGCUGGGCCACCCAGAAUCGACCAAAACCCAACACAGGCCCUCACCUGGGACAGCAGGUCAAUGGCCAUCAGGGAACGGCGCCCCGACUUGCAGCCCUGGCAGUUGAGGCGGGGCAGCACAGGCAUUAGCACGAUACAAAGAAUAAAUAAGCGCUCAAACCCGCAGAACCAAAUCUGUAAACGACUAUGCAACGAAGCCGCCACACCCCCGCAGCUCCGUAUCCCCGCCGCUUCGGAAGCCCCAGUCCUCAACCCUGAACCCGACCUGGGUCUGGGCCAUGGGUGCACACUCACCACCACCAGCCGCUCCUGCUUGUCUGGGAAGGCGGCCUCCACCGCCUGCAGGAAGCCGGGGUUGGGCACCAUGCCGCCCGGCCCGAAGUUGACCACCGGCACGUUCACCGCAGCGGGUGCAUGGCCGCCCGCAUACUCCUCCGUGGUGCUGCGUGUGGAGCACCGCGGGCAGUGGCAACCAACAGUGAGGUAUGGGAGGGGGCAGGGGUGAUCGGGGGUUAUGACACUGUAGCGCUUGCGCCACUGAUCGCCUUGACGGUGAUCUCCCUCCCCUCAAGACUCCAGCCGCCAGCGACCUGUCUGAGCCAUUAGCUUCCUGUCGCCACGUUAUCCAGUCUCCCGUCCCCAUCCGUACACCCGCCGGCGCCCUCACCGCACGUCCAAGUACUUAUAAUCCUCCUGCAGCAGCUCCUGGGCUUGCUUAGGCAUCACGUCCUGUCCACGGUGGGUGUGGGGCAGUUUGUAUGGUGGGAUGUGAACUCGGUGUAUGCACGGCACGUACCCGCAGAGUUCCUGCACCCCACUCUACUGGCAGUGCUAGACAAAGAUGACGUGCCUCAAGGACCUGAACAAGCGCACCUGGGGGACAGGCACCUGGCGCAUGGCAGGGCAGCUGACGUGCAGCCGGCGGGCGACAACGGCGCGCCUGCGCAAGUGCAAGUAGCCAAAACCUUUUGACAGCUGCCCGAGGCAAAGACAAACGCAUUGCGCCUGAUGUCGCAGCACUGUGGGCUUUGAGCAUCAAGCAUACGCUCAUUCACAGAGAGCGUUAAAAAAACCAACCCGAAGGCGGACGAAGGGCGAGCAAGAGAGCGAGCCAGCAUGGUUGAAGUGGGCAAGCAGCUUGAUGAAAGUUCAAUAGUAUCAAGCGAACAAUAACAAAUAGGUUGUCCUGCAGCCACUCAUGCACCGCAUGCCGCCCGGCAUGAGAAUGACGCCAGCAGAGUUCAAAUAAAACCAGCCUCGCUCUGCCAUUACGUUACAUACUCGAUCAGUUGAUUGCUUGAUCUUGAACAAGCGGCUGCCAACCGCACAAACGAUUGCAACACUCGUUGCCCGCGAGUCCACCAGAGAGCCCAAGCAAAGCCCAUCAAGUGACCUUGUCUUUACUGGCGUUUAGGAGACCUGAAGCUGGGCCCCGUGGCACAUAGUUAGCGCCAAGAUGUCCUCGUUCAAGAUGCUCGGUGCACACCGUUCGCAGCUUGCGCAGCGUCGCAGCACGCAAGGAUGGCGUACAGCUGCAGGUAGGAUUGUCCAGGGCGUUGUGGGCUCGGCGAGGGACACCCGGACUUUUCCCAGCCGCUUGGGGGUUGUGUGGCGUGUGGCCCUGCGCGCGCCACCAGUGGACCCCGCCCCAGGCUACUGCCGCUCCAGUCCCUGUGCGGCUCCUGCGCAUAUAUGCAUGUUCCCAUAACACGUGUGGUGUUGUGAAUAUUUCAAAGGAAGUCUUGUGUUGUUGGUUAUGUUGUGACCGCCUUCUAGUAGCUGCCCCAGGUCGUCUGGCAGGGGCCCUGCGACAGCCCAUGCACCGUCCCCAAGACCUCGUGCAGUCGUGCCCCUCACAUGCUUACGCGGCAGCCCUCCACGCCACCUAGCGCCCAUGCCUAACACCUCCCCCUUAUGCCUUCAUGUGCAGCACUCUGCAGCCCUCGCGCCGCACGCCGCGCCGCACGCACUGCGCGCCUGCUGUGCCGUGCGGAGCAGGAGACCUCCACCGUCACCACUACCACCGCGACGGAGGCGGCCAACACCUCCAACGGCAACGGCAAUGGCAACGGCGCCGCCGAGAAGGUAAGGCUCUCAUUAGCGCGCCUCCUUGCCAUGUCUCUUAUGUCUCCUAUCCGCACGCCUUCCUGCCAUGCAACAGAGUGCAGACACAACGCACGCAGGACUGCCUCCAGCAGAAACCACAGGCAACCACAGUAUCACCAUGCUGUCAUAGACAAAGAUUCGCGGCCCAAAGCUGGAAUCUGCCCCUAAUCCUACCCUGCCUUCCCUCCUUCCUCCCCCUUUCCCUCCAGGCCUCCCGCGGCGCCGGCGCCUUCCCCUCCGAGCUGCUGUCUGCCGAGGAGCUGCCGUACGUGGCGCCUGACGACAGCGCCAAGUUCUGGACCGGCUUCAAGCUGGGCUUCGCACUGCCCUGGCGCCGCUUUAAGAAGGACUCGGUGCUGGCGUUCAAGGUGGGGGGAGCAGGGGGACAUGGGGGCAGCGGCGGAGGAGCGCACCUCUGGGGGGCGCAGUGGCCAUCCGCAUGCGCUGGGGGGCGUUGGGCUGGGGUGACAGUUACUCUGUGUCUAAGCCCAGGACUGGGAAGGCGUGAUAGGCGUGGUUUCACGACCUUGUGGUGUGUGUUGGCGCGUCUGUGCUGUCCCUGCGUAAAGUGUGUAAGGCUGCAGCCUUUGACCCUGAGCAUGCGCUCCGUGCUCCUGCCCUGCUGCCCUCUUUUCUCUCAGUCUGUGCGUACAAGAGCAUUGUCGAUAAGAAUGUGUGCCUGUGUGUGUGCCGCUACAGCUGGAGGGCGACAUCAGCGACCAGGAGCGCACCUUCUUCGACAGCGGCACCUCGCUGCCGGCGCUGUGCCAGGCGCUGCGGAAGGCGGCGCUGGACCCGCGCAUCCAGGUAGGCGUGUGUGGAGGGUGGAGGGUUGACGGCAGAGGGUGGAGACGUGAGAUGGAGGCGGAGUGGGAGCAAAUAGCUGGGAGGCGGAGGUAAGCUAGGAGGCGGAGGUGCAGAAGACCAACCGGGGGUGCACAGACAGGCUCAGUUGCUUCAUGUACGAUCCUGACAGAACGCUCCGCGCUUGAUGCAUGCGACCUGCCAUUCAGGGUGUGGCCAUUGAGAUUGCGCCGCUGGCCAUUGGCUGGGGCAAGGUGCAGGAGAUCAAGAGGUGAGCCAAGGACGACUGGGGCUGCGCCCUUCCCCACCCCACUUUACAGCACCCACCCCUCAGUGGUUGUCGCGGGAGAGGACUCCCUCAUGUGCUCUCCCGCGAACUUUGCAAAGGAGCUGACGCUGCCUGGUUCCCGCCCACAUGACUUGGGUGUGGUUUUGGAUACAAACACACACACACACACACACACACACACACACACACACACAUAAAGUCCCGCUGGCCCCGCCCCCGCCCGCACAGGCACAUCGACUACUUCCGCGCCAGUGGCAAGUACUGUGUGGCCUACAUGAAGCAGGCGGGCGAGAAGGAGUACUACCUAGCCACCGCCUGCAGCGAGAUGUAUGCGCCGCCCUCGGCUUACCUCAGCCUGCGCGGCUUCGUGACCGGAGGUGAGCGCAGGCGUACCCCUGGCCCGGAGGGCCCGUGGGGCGGAGGAUUAAGGGGGAGGCAGCGGGGACGCGGCUUGUAGAAGGGCAGAUGGCAGAUUCACCAUCACCAGAGCUUGAGUUGAUGCAGGCGGUUUGCGGCGCGUACACGGUGGCUGGUACCAUGAGAAGGCAAGACGUACAAACCUCGUACCCUGCGUGUACCACAAAACUUCCAUGCGGCCUGCUCCUCACCACUAACCACCACUACCGCCACGACCACCGCCGCGCUCUGCCCGGGCCAGGCACCUUCCUGCGCGGUGUGCUGGACAAGGUGGGCGUGGAGCCGCAGGUGAAGCGCAUCGGCGCCUACAAGUCGGCGGGCGACCAGCUGCUGCGCCGCACCAUGGCCUCGGAGCAGCGCGAGCAGCUGGGGGCCAUCCAGGUGGGUGUCUGGGUGUAUAGGGGGUUGCAAGGAUGUUUGGAAAAGGGCGGCGGGUUGCAAAGAUUGGUACAGCAAAGUAGACAGCAGGCGGGGGGAGGCGGCGUGCGGAAGGGGGGGAUGUUAUAUGCCCGAGCCCAACGCAGUAGCUCCCAGCAGUCAAGGAAUCGGGCGGGCGGGCGGGCGGGCGGGCGGGGGCGGGGGCGGGGGCGGGGGAGGCGUGGUGCCGUUGCGCCAGGUCAGGGCUAGGAUCAGUGUAAGGUGUAUCGACACGGCUGGGUUCCGGUCCACCAACACUGGUGACCCUUAUUAUCUCACACCCACCUCAACCCCACAUCACCCCACACCCCACACCCCCAGGCCGACGUGGUUGAGGAGUUCCUGCGCCAGGUGUCCACCGCCCUGGGCAAGAGCCGCCAGGAGGUGGUGGAGUUCGUGGAGGCGGGCGUGUACGACACGGCGGCGUUCAAGGCGGGCGGCUGGCUGACGGACCUGUGGUACGAGGACCAGCUCAUCAACGAGCUCAAGAUGAGGACCACGGGUGCGUGGCUGGGGGUUGCAGGGGUGUGAGCGUUUGUGGAGCUGGGAUAGGGCUGCGCGAGUGCGCACGGUACCGUAUGGGGUCAAGCGAUAGGGCGGAACAGCCGUGGCUGUUGGCUAGUGCUGUGAGUUCAAAUCGAUCCACAAGAACCACGAACCUGCCUGCACCUCCUGAUCCUGCUGUUGUCAUAUGUAUUCGCGACUGAUUCCCGCAACUCUCCCACGCACACACGCUUCCUAUAGGCCUGCGCCCGGUGGAGGGCGAGAGCGAGCGCGACAAGGAGAAGCGCGAGAAGGAGCUGGCCAAGCCGCUGCGGCGUGUGGGCCUGCGCAAGUACAGCUCCGUCAGCCCCACCGCCUUCCCCACCCUGGGCACCGCGGGCGGCAAGAAGCGCAUCGUGGUGCUGCGGACCAGCGGCGCCAUCGUGGGUGCGUGGCUGGGCGGGCGGGCUGGGAGCGUAUCAGGGGAUUCAUCAGGUCAAGCCCGGGCGUCAAGGGACCCAGACGGAGGUGGGGUUCAGGCAUCGGCGUCAGCCGUUGCAUGCUACCGCGACAGAUGAGUACGUAGGCAAAACAGGCUCGCUCCUGCAGGCUAAGGGCUUGUUGGAGUCCCAAUAAAACCGCUGUCUGCCUCUCCUCCUCCCCUCCCUGUCAGGCAAGGCCAGCUCCGGCUCCGUCAUCACCCCGGACGGCGUCAUCCCCAAGCUCCGCGCCCUGGCCAAGUGAGAGGCGUCACCUGUGGAUGUCCAUGCGCCGCCCCAAUGCUGCUGCUGCUAAUGCUGAUGCUCCUGCUGCUGCUACUUGUUCGGGGCAGCGCGCACAUGCUUAUUAGUCUAUCCCUCACGCCCACGGCCGCGCCUUCACCGCAGCUUGCGAACCCACCAGCACUCGCUCACCCGCCCCCGACCUCGCCCCCUCCCCCACACACAUGCCAUACCCUUCGCCUUCUGCUCCCUCUUCUCAACCCUGCUCCGUUGAUCUGCUGCAACGACCUGCGAACAUCAUCUCGUCUAAUCGUGCAUGGAAUCCCCACCGCGCCUCACGCCGCGCAGGGACAAGUCGGUGGCUGCUGUGGUGCUGCGGGUGGACAGCCCGGGCGGCGACGCGCUGGCUGCCGACCUGAUGUGGCGCGAGAUCCGGCAGCUGGACGCCGUCAAGCCCGUCAUCGCCUCCAUGGCGGACGUGGCGGCCAGCGGCGGGUACUACAUGGGCAUGGCGGCGCGGUGAGAGGGGGAGAGCGAGGGGGAGCGGGGAGAGGGAGAGAGAGAGGGGGCGGAGGGGGCACCGGGGAAUGGGUAGUCAACACCAGGUUCAUUCAAGGGGUACCAUGGGGAAGGCGGUGUACCAGGCGGUGUCCUGGGCGGUCUUGUCCGAUCCCAGGGUGCGAAGUUUCAGGGUGGGUUUCGGGGUGGGUGCAAGGGUACACAGGACUAAGUUCCUUGCCGACUUGAGUGCCUAUUGCCAUCAGUGCCAAACGCCUGGCGCUGUUUCAAUUCUUUUGCGUCUCCCUGCCCCUCUGCUGUUGCCCUGCCGCCCAUACAAACAGUGCCAUUGUGGCCGAGCCGCUGACCAUCACUGGCUCCAUUGGGGUGGUGACGGGCAAGUUCAACCUGUCCGAGCUGUACGCCAAGAUCGGGUAGGGUGCUGGGUGCUGGCUGGGGCUGGGCUGUCAUCUCUUGCCUGGCAGACCCUGCGCCCACACGCCCACAUCCAUACUUGCCACACAACUCCCUAAUUCCAUCCUCUCCACCCUUGACCGAAUCCCACAGUUACAACAAGGAGCUGAUCAGCUGGGGCCGCUUCGCCGAGCUGCUGGCCGACAACAGGUCCUUCUCCAAGGAGGUGCGUUCAUUGUGUGUGUGUGUGUGCAUGUGUGUGUAUAUGUGUGUGGACUGUGUGCAUGUGUGUAUAUGUGCGUGUACAGGCCGUAGUUACCGGCCUGUCUGCACUUGUGUGCGCGGCACUAUGGCUUUCUCUGUCAGCCUACCCGCGCACGUGACACGUGUUUCAUGGCCACUCGACGACUUCCAUGACAUCUGCCAUGGCUGGGUCCCUUCAACGUACCACCCCAGGUGCCUGCCGCAAACCUGCUCAACACGCCACUCCCCACCCCGUUUCUUGGCCCCCUCAGGAGGCUGAGCUCUUUGACGCCAGUGCGCAGCACGCCUACGAGUCCUUCCGCAACAAGGCGGCCUCCAGUCGCGACAUGGACGUGGAGGACAUGCAGGCGGUGGCGCAGGGCCGCGUGUGGUCCGGCAACGCCGCAAUCAAGGUGCGCUCGGCGGCCUGGCCGCCCAGAGCCGGGGCCCCGGCAGCGAAGCUACUGUGCUCUUGCGUGUGAAGAAGAAGCCGCGUCGGGUUGUUGUCACUCGGCACAGCCCUCGCCACACCUGACCUCAAUCCCACUCGACUCACACGCACCUCUUUUCGUACCCCGUGUCCCCGCUCCCCCCUCACACGCCGCUCAGGUGAAGCUGGUUGACGCACUGGGCGGCGUGAACCGCGCCAUUGCGAUGGCCCGCCACGCCGCCGGCAUCCCGGCAGAGGAGCCCGUCACAGUGGUGGAGCUGGGCAAGGUGCGGCCCUCGCCCACCGCGCUGAUCGGUGAGUUGGAGACAGAGAGAAAGGGGGAGAGGAGUCGGUGACAUUGGGGCCCGUGACUUGUGAGGGAGUGGGGAAAGGGGAGAACGAGAAGAUGAGCAAUAGAGGGAAGAGGUGGCGAACGCUUGCCCGGUGCUUUGUGCAGUCUUGGGUAUGGGCCGCAGCUGCCGCAUGGGCUUGUGACCCAAGUGGACGCCCCACGUGCGCUCGUCACCACCUUCCCCUCCCUUAUCGACCCACGUUUGGGUUCCACUCCCAUUGCAGGCGGUGGUGCCAUGGCGGGCGCCCUGAUGCUGACGUCUCUGCUGCGCGGCCAGUCGCCCGCUGACGCUCUGGCCUCAGCCGCCGGCGCCUCCGCAGCCCUUGGCAUGGGCAUGGGGUCACUGAGCGCCGGCGCCGCCGUCGGCAAUGCGGACGCCGCGGCGGCCGCCGCCGCGGCGGCGCCCGUGGUGGCCGCAGUAGCACGUGAGGCGGCGGCCCUGGCGGCCGUGCUACAGCCGGGGCGCGCGGCGUACCUGCUGACGGAUGUGGAUGCGCUGUCGGUGGCGGCUGGCAGCAGCAGCCUGGGCGGUGUCAUGGGCGCCAGCAGCCUAGGCGGCAGUAGCAGCGCCGGCAGCAGCAGCAGUGGGGAGUUCCUGGAGGAGGGUGGGUCGGAGGGCCUGCUGCCGUGGUGGUGAGAGAUGUAGCUGUAAGUGCACCUGUCGCUGCUGCUGAUUUGUUUGGAAGAGAGUGUUCUACGCAUCUGUAAACGUGCGCGCGCGUGUGCAGGACGUUAGUGCGAGAGAGAUGACAUGAAUUCGAGAGUGUAGCGUUGCUAGGUGACAUGUUGUCGUUUGUGCGGUUACAAGGCGAUUUCGUGGGCUCAUGGCUGCAAAGCUGUCACGCGGCGUUCAGAGUGAUCGUGUGACAGCUGGAAACCAGAUGCGGCGGAGGGGGUAGAGCGAUGUUAAGAGUGCGCCAUCGCUCCAUCAUGGCAUGAGAGAGUCUGGAGUGCAUACUGAAUUCUUUAUGAGGCUCGGAGUCAAGGUGGUAAGCAAGAUUGAACGGCGAUAGGGGGUUGGCCCUUCCACCGCAAGGCGCCAUGUGCGUCCAUCUUUCGAAGACCUCCACGGCAGUGCACGCGUAUGCAGGCGCAGCGCGGUUUGACGUGCUGUUGGUGUAAUUUCAAAGGGGAAGCUGUCACGUGCAAACCUAAGGGGAGAUGCACCGGGCAACGAUGGGAAGGGCGAGCUGGUGGGCGCGUGGCGUACGCCGUGGCGUGCGGAUUGGGCCGACGAGGCGGUUCGCGCCCCAGCAAACUAGGGAGUUACCCGAUGCCUCUUGCCUUAUUACCAGUGUAUUUUGUAGAUGCACGGUCGAGUCUCUCCUGUCUCUGAAGGUGUGUGCGCAUGCAGUCCUUAUAAGACGUGGCCAACUCAAACCAGUAUGCGCAACAUGAUGGUAACAAUUGAGGUAUCGACUGUAAUGGCAACAAAUGGGGGGCGCUGCAAGCGCUGAGAGAACCCGCGCGCAACUUGCGUUCGGACCCAGCACGUCUGCCAACGAUGGCAGCGGCAACGCAAAGCAACGCGGCGCAAAGCCAUUACUACUCGUCGACUGGACAUACAGCAGCGUUAUCGGGGACACAACGCACAGAAGCAGCGUCAAACGGAAGCGCAACGCUGGGCAGGUGAUUCGUUUCAUAAAUAAAUAUGCAUACCUCAUUCUAAUUGUGUCCCUUGAAGGAAGUGGGUUCUAUUAUGCGGUGGGCACCUUGGAGGGCGGCAGCCGCGCACGCACAACCGAUGUAAUGAAAUGUAUAAAAAUUUAUGGCUCUACAGGGACCGUCCUACAAGGGCGAAGACGAUGAAGUCCAUGUCCAUCGAGCCGCAGGUGCGCAACCUGCGCGAUACGGGCCAGUAAUGGCCAUAAAACCUGCUUCUGGUUUACAUAUGUGGUCUGGGCAAGAGCUCGGAAAGGGCGUGACCCUGAAGUCCCGGUUGGCCGGUUCUCAACGGCAGGCGCCUCGCUCCUUCUCACGCCUUCGGGCCCUGCUCCCGGCCUAUGCCAGUGAACUUGAGGCCGCCUUCACAGCCUUGGGUCUCAACGCGCCUUGGGGCCUUGGGGGACUGCUGGGCAAGUGGAUAACUUAGGCCCUCUAAGGCCAAAACCGCACAACUCACAACGCUUAACUCUGCGGACCUACAAGCGCCCGCGCCGGGCAACCCCAUUCACUGCUAUCCCUGCUAGCAAGCAAGUCAUGAAACACCCCCGCACUUAUCACUGUGCAGCUGCGCGCUAUGGAAGCCAUUGGCCGUGAGCGGGCGUCUGCGGACUUCAAUGUGCGGGGCCCCCGGCCAGACUGGCACGACACGCGGCCGCACGUGCCGCCGCGGGAGCCGCUGGUGGCAUCAGAGUACAACCCGGUGAGUGGGUUGCGGUCCUGUUGCUGAAGCAGGAAGACUAUGCGGAAUAGUUCGAGGAGUGGGGAGGUCGGAAUGGGAGGUGAGGAAGGGAGGAAGCAGAGGGAAGGUGGGCGGGGUACCUUAUGACAGCGAGAGGCCGGAGCUUUGACAGCGAAAAGCCGGAGCAAGGUCAGAUGCGUGCAGAUCACGUGCACAUCAUGUUGAUGGCCACUGCUGCUUGUCGCUGGCUGAUCCGGCGCCGAUGCUCACGGAAACCAUGUCGUGCGGUAACCCACUUGCCCACCCCAGCGCCUGGACCCGAGCCUGAACCGUGGCUACGUCAAGCCGCGACCCGGCGGCUCCGGACUCAACGGCGCGGCGCGCGUGGCCGUGCCGUCACCCGGCGGCGGCGGCGGCGGCGGGAGCGUGUCCCUGUCAGACAUGCACGGCACCAUGGGCGGCGAGCGCCGCGCCUGGGGCUCCAACAACCCUGCGCCCAUCAACUUUGCGGCUGGCGGCGCCGCCAUUGCGUCAUCCAGCGGCCACCUCGGCGGCGCGUUUGUGGCGGGCGGUGGUGGCGGCGGGCGCAUGGCGCCUGCACCGCUGAGUCCCUUCAGUGCGGACAUUGCUGAGCUGCGGGGCGCGCGGCGGCUGCGGCAGUACAUGAAGAAUGGGGCGGGAGCAGGCACCAGCGAGUCCGGCCUUGAGCGUGAGUGUGAUGGUGAAACGGUGUGAUGCUGGGUUUGGGGCAUGCAGGUGGACGUUGCGCUUGGCAGGGAUGCACGUGCUUCUUGCGUGGACAACCGCCAAGCCCCCUGCUGAGCUACCUUCCGCGCCUCGCUCACCAUGACAGUGCUGACGGACCAUGCUGAGGACUGGGGCCAGCUGCGGCAGCACCAGCAGCACCAGCGCCACAUGCAGGAGGCCGCCUGGGCAGACAAGUACGGACUGCCGCCGCCGCCACCACCCGUUGCAACCGCUGCCUCGGUGGCGGCGGCCGGCGGCGGCGGCGGCGCACCCGCGGCAUCUGGUGCGGGUCCAGCGCCAUUGACGAAUGCAGGCUCAGCGCCUGUGGUGUACGUGGCAGGCGCGACGCCGCCGCCGGCAAUGUCCCCCGCUGCAGCACGAGCCGCGAAGGCCGCCGGCGGGCCCUGGAUGCUGCCGGCUACAGCGGCAGCGAUGGCGGCGGCCGCCGCCGCGGCGCCGCACCUGGGCAGCGGUGGGCCGCGCUCCCGGGCCGCUUCUGAGGCCGCGACCAAUCCUGCGCCCGAGCGUAUCGUGCUUGUGCAGUUCCCUGCAAAGGCCGGCGUCGCUGCUGCAGCUGCUGCCGCUACGGCAGCCGACCUGUCCGAAGAUGAUGGCGAGUUCGGGUCUCCCACGUCCCCAGCGGCACGACAGAACCGCCGCGCGAACUCGCUCAUCGUCGGCAGCAGCCGCCACUCGGCGGCAGCCGCCGCAGUGGCGGGGCUGGGAGCGAGCUCCGGCCCUAACUCAGCGUCCGGCGGCGUCGCGGGCAGUGCUGGCGCUGGCACGGCGCUGCUGCACCCUGCCCUUAGCUCGCUGGUGGCGUCGCAAGCGUCAGGCGCGCGUGGCAGCAGCACCGCCCCUGGCGGCGCCGUCGGCGCUGUGGGCCCGGCACUGGUGCCCACAGCCCAGCCAGGCGCAAGCAGCUUCACUGCCGGUCGGCCAGGGCCGCUCCGCGGCGCCAGCACCGCCACCGCGGCGGCGGCGGCCGCCGCCGCGGGCGGCUCCCGCUCCGCCAGCGGCGGCUACAGCGGCAGUGCCGCCGCCCCGGAGCCGUCGCCGCCGCUGCUGCCGCCCACGGGCUCCGCCGCGCUCACCACUGCGGCGGCGGCAGCAGCCGCGGCGGCUGGGUUCGUGGCGGGCGUGGAGCGUGUGCACACCACCUACGCACUGCCAAGCCACGCGCUAACCACGGGGGCCGACAAACUGGACCUGCGCGCGCUUGCCAAUGCGGCGCAGCUGGUCGAGGUGGUGGAGGUGGUGCAGGCGCCGCGGCUGGCGGCAGCGCAGGGCCAGCAGGGGCAUGGGCAGGGGACGGCGGGUCCCAGCCCGCAGCUCGGGGGAGGGCCGCGCAUGCCACGUUUCAGCCAGCACAGCGAGAGCUCGCCCAUGUACAGGCCCACGGCGGCCAGCGGCUCCGGCGCAUCACCGAGCUUCGCAGCAGCAGGCGGCGGGGGCGGUGGGUAUGGGGGCGGUGGCUACGGCAGCGUGUUUGCGGGCGUGCAGGCCCGCACGCGCCGCCACUCGACGUCCGAGGCGCUCAGCGCGCCGCCGGGUAGCCUAAUGGGGCGCGUCCCUGCGCGGGUGGCUACUACGUCGGGGGCCGUGGUGGAGGCGGAUGGCUCAGAGCUGUUGGCUCCAUACGGGGAGGGUCUGGACGGAGAGCCCCUGACGCCGCACGACGGCUGUGAUGGGAACGUCGUUCAGUAUGACGAGGCGGCGACCGCGGAGGAGGAGGAGGAGCGUGACAGCAGCGGUUGUAGAGGCAGUGGCGGCGGCGGGGUUGGCGCUGCCGCAGCAGCGCACGACGCAGCGCUGCACCGCUUCCGGGCCGCCGCCGGCGCGGUGGUGGCGGCGGCGCGCUGGAGGCAGGUGGCGGGCGUGGGCACGCAGGUGACGCCGGGCUCCUUCUCUCGGGUGGCGGAGGUGGCGACGGAUACGGCGGCGGCAGCCAAGCCCCUGGGCAUGGUGCCGGCGCUCGCGACCAGCCGCAGCCAGGUGGUGGUCACGGCGGCGGCCACAAGCGCGGCGGCAGCGGCGACGGCGCCAGCUGUGUCGGGCUCCGUUGUGACGCGGCGGCUCAAGGUGCAGGCCGCGGCGCAGCUGCAGCACCACCACCACAACUCCUGGCCGUCAUCUGGUGAGGGCGGCUCGGAGUCGACGUCGUUGAACGCCACCGCACACAGCGGCACCGGCAGCGGCUCUGACGCCGGUCGACUGCGCCCCAGCGCCUCUAACAGCCUGCGCAGCAGCCUGGCGGCGGCCGUGGCCGCCUCGCCCGCGCCCGCGUCGCCGCAAACGCAGCUGUCGCAAGACCGGCCCAGUCCGGUCGGGUCCUCGACAGCGCUGCUCCGUGCCAUGGCGGGCGGCGUCAGCGGCGCCGCCGCAGGUGCUGCCGCCGCCGCAGGCGCUGCCGCAGGCGCUGCCGCAGGCGCUGCCGCAGGCGCUGCCGCAGGCGGUGCCGCCAGCGCCAGCGGCGCCACCAUGGGCAUCAUCCAUGAGGACGAGGAGGCGGGCAGCGAGGAUGAUGGCGCCGGCGCCGGCGUCAAGCGCCGGUCGGAACCGGGCGGCAUCCGAAGCGCUGCCUCGCCGCUGCCGCCCGCCUCACCGCUGCUGCUAGGGGCACUGCCGCCGAGGCCGUCGCCGCACACCACACUGCGCAGCCAGAGCAUGCACGUCUUCGGCAGCCUGCUGGGCGGCGGCGGCGGCCCCGCGGCCAAGCCCGGCGCCCUGACCCCCGUGGUGGGUACGGACUCCAGCGCCAGUGGACAGGCGCUGCCGCUGACGGGAGUGGCCACGGCAGCGGCGUCGCCGCUGGUCGGCACGGGCGGCGGCGGUGGUGGCAGCCCGGGCGUGCUGCACCGGCUGCUGGGGGAGCAGCAGCGCAUGACCAUGCAGCUGCCGGGCACAUCUGGCUAUCGCCGGGGAGGCAGUGGCGAGGCGGCGGGUGCGGCGGCGUCAUCGCCGCCAAUGGCGUCGCAGCCAUCCCUCCGCCGCUCGUCCGACGGCGGCGAUGCCGGGCCGGUCGAACCGGCGGCGGAGCCCCUCCCGCAGCCCGUCAUACGGGCUGACAUGGCAGCGGCAGCGCCUGAGGUGGCUGGGGUGGACGGCGCGGCGGCGGUGGAGGCGCACGAGGCAGAAACGGCGCUGGCGGCGGAGUCUUCGCUGACGUCGGCGGCGUCGAGGCUGCGGCUGCAGGAGCGCGUCAAGCGCCACAGCUGGGGUGGCACCCUCAUGGCCCAACGCAGUGCCGGUAACCUGUCCAUGCGCAGCAGUGGCGGCGCGGGAAGCGGCGGCGGAGCCGCUACGGCCGCCCCUGGCGGCAGUGAGGGCGGCGCCGGGCGGCCGCAGCCGCCGCGCGGUGAGUCGCGCGCGCUGCUGGCACCCGACCUGUCAUACAAUUCGUCAUCUGCCGCGACGGUGCAGCCGUCGGAGGAAGCCAGCUCCGUGGUGUUCGGCGGCGCCGUGCCGGCCCCCACAGAUGAAGCCAGUGGGCCGGCAGCACAGCCGCCGGCGCACAACGCUACCGCCGCCGCGGCAGCUGCGGCUGCCUUUGCACCCCAGCCGCCGCAGCCACAGCCGCAGCCGUGGGCGCAGGAAACAGUGGUGUCUAGCCCGCGCGCUUCAGGCGCCGGCAGCCACCUCGCAAGACUGGUGGUAGAGGUGCCGGCCGCGGCGUCACCACCGCGGCCGUCCACACACGAUCGCUCCGAGUCUACCUGCGGCGCCACCAGCUCACCACGCCCACCCGCCUCGCCACGCAACCCGCAGCCCGCGUCGCCGAGGCCGUCACUCGGCACGUCCGGCGCUGCCACCGGCGCCUCGGCUGUCGCCGCCAUCUCGCCCAUGGCUGCUGCCGCCCUCACGGCACCUGCAGCCGCUGCGGCUGCAGCCGCAGCCGAGCAGGUGGCUACAGCUACCGCCGCCGUGGCUGCAGCAGCUGACGCUGAUGUGCCUGGGCAGCACCGGUUGGCGCGGCCGCCAUCUGCGCUGAUGGUCCCGGCGCCGCCACAAGGUCCUGCUUCGCCGCGCGGCGGCAGCGGCAGCGGCUACUGGUCACCGGGCAGCCGUAGCGUCAGCGGCGCGAGCACCGCCGCCGCCAGCACCAGCAGUUUGGGCACCGGCGGUGCUGCUGCCAGUAGCACCACCGCCAGCGGCAGUAGCAGUUUGUCGCGGGGCUUCUCUGGCCGUGCGCUGCUGCGGCUGUCUGUGAACAGCCCCUCGAACUCCCUGCCCGGGGAGGCGGCGCCUGUGGCAGCAGCGGCUGGCUAUCCCUCAUCAUCGCCCGCGUCAAGCUCGGGCGAGGUGCCGCCGUCUUUGCCGCAGCCGCUGGCAAGGAUGCCGUCCUUGCAGCGGGUACUGGGACCGUCGCCGCUGAGCAUUUCGGGCGCGGCGCCGGAGGCGGAAGGCGGCGGCAGCGCCAGCAGCCUCGCGAGCCAGGGGCCUGGCCCGUUGGGGGCGUACGCUGUUGGUGACGCAGAGGGUUCGAACAAGGAGGCAGAAGGGGCCGUUGGGGAUGGGGUCGAGCUGCAGUCGUUGCCCAGGUGGAGCGGGGUGCCGCGGUCUGGGUCUGUGCGCUCCGGCGCAACCACACGGCGUGAAUACUGAGCGUGAAGCAGGCUGACUCCCUAGAGACGCGGAGGGCUGGAUUGGCUCGAACCCCUGGUGCUCAGGCUUGCUUGCUGUGAGUUCAGCUGGUGUCAUUGAGAGACCGUCCGGUGCCUUUGUAGACUUGACUUGUGCCGGGGCAUGGAAGGGUUGUGACCACUGUGAGCUCAGAGUGAUUUUGAGAACUGAAGGCCGCAUGGUGAUGUAUGGGAGGCACACGGCAUAGCGACUCAGUACGACAAAGGAGCUCGGGGCUUAUGCGCAUCAUUCAUUUAUUGAUACUCUGUCCCGGUCUAGCGGUGAUGUAGUGUCGUUGGCCCCCGCGUCCCACACAUGCAGACCCCUCUUCGUUGUUCCUGUGUGUGAGGCUAAGGCUUGUACCGCCGAUAUGCGAGUAAGGCAGUUGAUUUGUGUGGAAGCUUUGCGAAGCAACUUGUCUGAAGUACUUUGCAGGGCUGUGGGCAGGAGGAUGCAUAAACGUUGGCUCUGACCUUGAGUUCAGUACACAGGCUCAUGAAUUGCAGGAGCCCUGUGUCUGCUUGGGACGUUACUACCGGGGACAACUUGCUUGGAUCCGCUUAUCCCAGUGUGUACGCAGAUUGCCUGUUGUUACGAUGGAGGGGUCCGAGCUUGUGGUGUGUGCCGAGGUGCGGACAGGUGCGGCGCAUCUCGUCAUCUUGGCAGCGCUCCUCUUGCUGUUGCUGCUGCUGUUCCUGCUACGGAGCACUUCGGAUGUUGGCCGGUGGGCAGCGGGCACUGAUGGAUACACAUACGGCGACGAGCAUGGGCAUGGGUAUGAGCCUACGAGGGCCACCAGCGGCACAGACCUCUUCAGGGCACCGCACGCCCGCAUGGGGUUGUGUAUUGGACCCGCGUACGGUAGUGGUUUGUAGGCUGCGCUGGCAGUUUCAAAUGCGUGCUGUAAGAACAUUACGUCCACACUCCACAGCUUGCCAAGCAUGGCAGCACAGCCAGCGUUAAGAAUAUUACGUCCACACUCCACAGCUUGCCAAGCAUGGCAGCACAGCCAGCGUUUGUGCUCCACAAGCGAUCACGUGCGUGUGGCAGUCUAUCGCAGUUCCGCACGACAUGUGCCUCAGGGUACUGCGUGCAGCAGCUGCCGCCGGGGGGGGGGGCGCACCGCCGCAGUGGCGGUAGCCUGCGCCCUGCAGCUUGUGCGUGAACCUGGGCCCAUGCAAGCAAGCUGCUCCAGAGUCCAGAAGACCACGCUGGCACGCUCCCCGCCAGCUAGCAGCCACGUGUCAGACACGGCAUGCAGCUGCCAUCCCGGCCGGUGUGCGUCACUGGAUGGGGUGACAGUGGCGAUCCCUCACAGCCGCCAGCCGCCGCCGCCCGCUGGGGCGUGGUACUGGAUGCAUCGUGACGGCAGCUUGGCGGCUCAGUCGGAUCCCACACAUGCGGCAACGCGGAGACGUUUUGGCAAGGAGUUAGCGGCAGCGCUGAGCUGGCAUCCGGCACGAACUGUCCCUUCCCACCCACCUGAACUGAAUGUCUCUGCUGUCUGCAACGUACCAGAUAACGCGCACAGCCCCCCUCGUUGACGUUCCAGCCACCCCUACGUUCCACCCGGCAUCUUGCCAACCUGCUGAGUAACAUUGGUCGAGGGCGGACAAUCCUCGUAAGAGGGGACUAAAGUAGUGGUCAGGUACGGGCUGCCACUGAUCACCCUUCGGUGGGAUGAACUGGCAGGUUAGGACUAGACACUGGACUUUCACGUUCGGAGACGGUAGGGUCUGGUCCAAUCCAGGGGGUGACCAGUAGCUGGGAGUCAUAUGUAACCCUUCAUAUGUACCACGCACCUUUCGUCAAUGUGCACUCGCCUUAUACACGCCUGUGGCAUGACUCUGUCCAAGCGUGCCCGGCCAACCCAAAGUGAGAUGCGUUGUGCAGGUUCGUCGUGCCGAGUUACACUAUCUGGUCGCUCUUCUCUGCAUUCAAACGUCCUCACCCCCACUAACCUAACUGCUCUCAUUGCCCUCACGGCUACUCUGGCUGCCACUCUCGCUGCUGCUCUCCUCGCUCUCGCUGCUACUGCUACUCCUCCCGGGCCCCUGUGCCUCCACCUGCUCCAACUCCUGAUCUUCCUCAUCAUAGCCUCCAUCCUGCGAAGAAGCUACCUGUACCUCGGCCACCGACGCUGCUGACGGCGGCGGCGCCAGCUCCGUGAUGCCCACGUACCGCCGCGCCGCCGCCGCCACAAGCUCCGGCUGCAUCCCAUUGGCCCGAGCUAGCUCAAACAGCAUCAGCACCUGUGGCGGCAGCUGCGGCCCCACCGCCUCCAACACCGCAUCCAGCGUUGCCGUGCGCGCAGGCUGUGCCGCGGCAUUGCUGGCGGGUGCAAGGUUCUGCCAUCCGGCGGCCGAGGCAACCGCAGCCGCAGCCGCGGCCGUAGGCUCCGCCGCAGCUGGGUAUGCGUCCGCAUGGGGCAGGGCUGCAGCAGGAUGCGGCGGCGUGUGCUGCCCCUCCUCCUCCCUGUCGUGCUGCGCCGCCCCUCCCUCCUCUACUGCAGCUGCAGGCUGGGGAGGCCGGCACCAGGGCCGCCACAUGGUGCCACGUGUGCCGGCUGCCGCCACGCUCCUGCCGGUCGCAAGGCCCGUGUCGGGCUCUGUUGUACCCGCAGCGGUCCCGGUGACCGCCGCCAACGCGCCGAGCCGUUGCCGCAGCAGCGUCGCCGCCGCCGCCUCGCGCCGCCUCCAGCCCUCCUCACGCGCCCAAGGGUCGCCCAUAGGCAGCCCCACUGGAGCCCAGGGCGGCAGCGCAGGCCCCUGCCCAUCUGCCGUCCCUGCUGGCGCUGCCGACGAUGCAGCCGCCUGCAUGCGCGCCGCCCUGGCGGCGCAGCACUGCACGACCGCGGCGAUGGUGCUGCGGGCCAAGGGCCGGCGGUGCGGCAGCGGCCGAACCCGCUGCGCGCCCACGCACGCCACAGCCGCGCCUGCCGCCGUGCCGGCUGCUACUUGUGACGCCGACAGGCCUGGCCGAGCACUGCUCAGCACACGGCUUGCAAGGGCGGGGCUGAGCAGGUCAAAGCCGGGGCCGUGCUCCGUCGAGGUGGCGAUAGCGCCUGCGUCGGCGGUGCCGCUGCCGCUGUUCACUGCCAAGACCUCGGCGGCGCGCGGCAGCCAGGUGACGUCGCCACCACCAGCUGCGGCCAGUGGCGCCGCUGCCAGCAUCACCCCUGCGCCCGUCCCUGGCCCUGGCUCGGGCCGCGGCGCCGCAGCGCCGACAGCGCCGGGCGGCAGCACCGUCACCUGCUCGCCCGCAUGCUGCCCCAGCCAGGCCGGCCCACUGAAGCCCUCCGCCUCCGCGGGGUGCAGCUCCCGCCGCAGGUGGUGCAGCAGCCAGGCGCGACUGCCCGGCACCCGCACACCACCCCAGUCGUCUUCGCUCCCUGCGUCAUCCGUCACUGUUUCUGCACAGUUGGUUGCCGCGCCCCCGGCGCCUGCACCCGCCGCCUUGCCAGCCCCUCUGCCACCUGGCAGCUGCGGUGGCGGUCUUGCGUCCGCGCCGGCGGUGCGGGCGGCGCGCACGCCGGGCAGCGGCAGCAACAGCCCUGGAUCCAGGCGGCGUCGCUUAGCGUGUGAAGAGACGAGGUAGGGCACCCCCAGCGCGUGCGACUGCGGGGAACAAGAGGACACGGCAGGGAUCAGGCGGCAAGGGAAUGAUCCAUGCAAGUGUUCAUGUGCUCGUGCCACGGCGCACACGCCAUCAAGUCACAAGCUCACCCUCAAGCAAGUUCGUACACCGCAAGCAGCAGCCCAGUGCCGCGCCAUAGGCGAAAGUUCCGGGCAUUGCCGGACACGCACCCGCCGCCAGCCCCAGCCCCCAUAGCCGCCCACACAGCCCACACAGCCCCGUAACACUCACCCCCGCCGCUGCCAGCGCUGCAUCCUCGUCAUCGAGCAGCACCACCCCGGGCCCACACAGCUCCAGCGGCGGCCGCAGCUCCGCCCGCCCGCGCCACGACAAGCCCCGGCCACGACCCGGCCGCUGCGGCUGCUGCGGCUGCUGGGAGCUUUCCUGCGAACCCAGCUGCUGCUCGCGGCCCCCCGCAGCCGACCCGCCGGCGCCCGAGGGCGCCUCCACAUCCACCUCCAUGUCCUCGCCGGCUCCCUCAGUCGCCCGCUGCUGCGGGCCGCUGCCUCCGCCUACACUGCCAUCCGCACCAACACCAGCGCCGCCCCAGAGCGGCUGCACGCGAGCCGCCACACCGGGGCAGCUGCGACCCAGUGCCGCCGCCAGCACUUGCAGCGUGUCCACCGGCCGCGACCGCGACCGCUGCUGCUGCGUCCUGGCCUCAUCACCGGCGACCGCACCGGGUCCUCCGUUGGCACCGGCCCCGCCGGUCCCUUGCCCGGCCGCAGCGCCGCCCGCCGCUGCCGCACCCGCCGCAACGGCACCCGGUGUGAUCCAGGCCUGCGAAACCGCCGCCUCCACCGAAAUGACGCCGGGCAGCUGCAGCCCCAUCGCCCACUCGCCGGAGCCCACCGGCUUGGCCAGCUCGGUCCGCGCCGCCGCCAGCGCCGCCAGUCGGCAGAUGGUCUUGAUGCGGUGCUUCACAGCCGGGUCGCGCUGCGCCGCGUCCGUGAAUCGUUUUAUCAUCUGCCUGCUGAUGACGUAAUUGUAGAUGUCGUUAUACAAAGAGGUGAUGCGGCCAGAACGCUUCCGCCACGCCGGCUCGGGCUCGCCAGGAAGGCGUGCUGUGAGCGACCGCAGUCCCGCGCUGCAGUCCGGCAGGCGGGCGGCGGAGGCGGGCGCCGUCAGCAGGCGCGACGCAAUGGAGAACGACAUGCGCCGCCAGCCCGCGUCGGCGGCGAGUGGCGGAUUCUUGGGCGCCCCGUUUGAAGCUUCAGCCGCAGCCGCAGCCGCAGCGGCAGCAGGUUUGGCGGCAGGGGCGUCGUGGGCGCCUCCGGCUGGUGGCGGCUGCGUCAUCUUGAGCCUGACCCGGAGCGGCCACUCCAGACUGCGCAUGAGCCCCAGCGCUAGGUGGCUGGCGCCCUCCGCCGCCGCCGCCCUCACGUCCGCGCCCCGCGCCGCCUCAGCCUCCGCCGCCUCCUGCGCCGCCACCUCUUCCGGCGGCGGCGGCAGCAACGACCGCGCCGCUACCUCCGCCGCCGCCGUCAUCGGCCGCACCUUCUGCUCCGCCAUCAGAGCUGCCACGGCCGCCGCUGCCGACGGCGGCUCUGCUGCAGCCGGCUCACCGCCGCCGCCUGCAGCCGCUGCUGCUGCGGCCUUGGGCACGCCGGCCCCUGCCUCCCUCGCCGCUGACGCCGCGGCCCGCUGCAGCUGCCUCACCGCCAGAGGCAUGUGCCACGUGUCGCCUUGCGGCGCCUCUGCACGCCCCUGCGGCCGUGACAGCGCGGCCGCUUCAGCGGCCUCCGUGGCUCCACCUGCGCCUGUGGCGCCGACUGCAUGUCCCGCCAGCAGCCAGGCCCGCUCGCCCUCCGCGAAGCCGGCGCCGCCCUGCACCACCAGCUCAUCGCGCGAGUCCCCUGCCGCCGCCCGGACACCUGGCGGCCCGCCUCCACCCCCGGCUGCUCCAUUCACCGCAGCGCUGGCUUGCGCUUGCUGGGACUGCUGGGACUGCUGCUGCCACUCGACCGAGGCUGCAAUAGGCGGUGGGGGCGGCGGCGGCGGCAGCUGGUGUGCCAGCAGCGCCGCCGCGGCCGCCUGCAUGAGCACCACGUAGGCGUCCGCAGCCACCUCGGCAAGCGUGCAGGCAGGUGGGCCGAAGCGGCAGGUGGAGGCGGGAGCUGCACCGCUGGCGGGGUGCAGAGGCGCUGAGGGGGCAGCGCCGCCGGGCAGCUCCAUCGCCCCGGCGACCUCCUCCUCAGCAGCUGCCGCGCCGCUCUCGCGCCGCACGUACUCGUAAACCUGCGGAAGUGGCAGUGGCAGUUGUAUGUGGCGAUGGCAGGAGGAGUGAUUGCAUAGCGGCCCCUGUUACCUGCCAAGAUGGUAAAACGGGUCAGCCACGCAUGCAGCCCACGGGCGCACGCACACUCCGUGACGGGUGCCUCUUGUUGCCGCCCGCCCGCCCGCCCCACCUGCAGCGCUGUGACGUGUGCGGCACCGUGCCGGGCCACUGCCGCCGCCACCAGCUGCCGCAGCAGGCCCGUGGGGCCGUCCGGCCGCGGCGCCCCGCAUGCCCAACACCCGCCACCACUGCUAGCUUCACCGCCGUGCAGAUACUCCAGGGCGGGAGCAGCCGGAAACACCGCCUCAUUCACCGCCGCACAGCAGCCGCCAAGCCGCCACGGCCUGCGCGGUGGUUGCUGCUGCGCCGACUGGUCUUCUGACGCCGCAUGCUCCGGCUGCCCCACUGCCGGCUCCGCCUCUCGCACCCAGCGCCUGGCGCGGCAGCUCCAGCGGGGCGCGGGCCCCGGCUCCACCAGCCACAGCGCCGCCAGGGCCCGCUGGCCCGCAGCCGCCAGCAGCGGCUGCGGCUGUGGCCCCUGGCGAGGAUGUGCCUGCUGCGGAAGUGGCUGGUGCGGAGAUGGCUGGGUGGCGGAGGCGGGGCAGCUCGCGCCUGGGUGUGCAGUGUUAGGGCCUCCAGGUGCGGCCGGGAACAGCGGCAGCAGGAGUGAACGCGACAGAGGAGUGUGAACUGUGGAAAGGGAAGGUCAGGCGGGGAGUAAGUGUAACGUUUUGCCUAGCAUCUGCAAGCGACACGGCGCGGUAAGGCGGUGUACAUGCGAAGAAGCGAGGGAGCGGGGGUUGCCGCGGUCGGGGGAUAUGCCUGCUGGGAGGUGCUGAGAGGCCGUUGAACACCUGAUGCUCCCUACAAGCCACCGCCAAGCAUACAACACAAACAGGCCUGCCCCCGCCCCUCUCACCGUCUAGGUCCGGCGGCACCAGGGCGUGCAGCGGCGACAACAAGACAGCAGGAGCAGUGGCAGUAGCAGCUGUAGCACCAGCAUCAACAGUAGUAGCAGCAGCAGCAGCACUAGCUGCAUCACGAACACUUGCAUCCUGUUGCCGCGGCGGUGGCUGCAUCGGCGGGUGGCAGUGCUCGCCGCGCCGGCCGGCGGGCGUCACCACCCACAGCCGCAGCCCCGCGGCCGCCAGGUCCGCGGCGCUCAGGCCCCGGGGCAGGUGGAGUGCGGGCCCGGGCCGGUACACCAGCCGUGUGGCGGGGCAGCCCGGGUGGGCGCAGCGCAGCACGUCCUGUGUGCGGUGCAAGGCGGUGCGCUGCAUGGUCGGCUCGGUGAGGAAUGCUGUGCAGUGCGCGCGCGUUUGAUUGUGCAAGUGCGUGGGUACGCAACCGAACAUGUAGGUAAUGGGCGAUAAGCACCCAGGGAGGCAUCGAUGUAAAGACGAGGGCGUCUUCAUGCCGCCUAGCUGCCGUACGCAUAUUAGUGUGGCGGGGUUGGGGUUUCAUCAUCAGCAGGGGCCUCCGGCGCUCACCUGUACCAGCUCCAGGCAGCAGGGCAGCGCGGGCCCUGUGGCGGUUCCUGCACCUACGCCCUGAGCGCCCGCAGCGGCUGGCGCUGGUGCUGCUGGCGCAGGUGCUGGCACUGGUGGUGCCGGCGCGGGGCCGUAGUACUUAGUGGUGGUGCGCACCAGCGUCCAGCUGCAGGCACGCAGGCAGGAUUGACAGGCAGGCAGGAUUGUCGAUGAGAUACACAAGGCACCGAUCUCACACAGAGUAAGGCAACAUAGAGCAGCAGCAGUUCAGGCCGGACAAAGCCCCCCUGCCCCCUGUGCCUGCCCCCCUCUCACCACUGCUCGCCGCCGUACGCCUCCGCCGCGUGCCUCAGCGCCACGUCAUCGCCCGGCCCCACGUCGCCGUCCCAGGCGGGGUCCGGCACCGCCAGCUGCUCGUCCACCUCGGCCAGCUCGUACUCCGCCUGCCCGCCCGACAUGACAGCGGCGUAGGCGGCGGCGUCAACACGGCCCAGGGGCUUGUUGGCGCGGCCCGCAGGCAGGCGGGUGGCCUUACGCGCCCCCGGCCCCGCAGGCUGCGGGGGCACACCGGCCGCUGCUGCCGCGGCGACAUCCACCGCCGCGGCGGCCGCGAGGGCGUCUGCGGCGGCGGCGUCAGCAGUACGGGACAGCUCCGAGGCGACAGCGGUGUUACCUGCGGCCGCGGCGUCAUCGGCCGCCCGCCGCAGUUGAGCUAGUGUCUCGCGCACGUGUGCCGGCAGCUGAGCCUCUUGCGGCGCCUCCGCAGCCACCUGCCCCGGUCCUGCGGGGCCGGCGGCGCUGCCAUCUGGCCGCCGCCAGCCACACCGCCGUGCGGUGUGAGCCCGGGCCGCCUCCGCUGAGACCAUGGCCGCUGCUGGUGCUGCUGCGGGGUGCGUCCCAGAUGCCAACCCUCCUGCUGCUGCUGCUGCCGCUGCUGCUUGCCCAGCACCUGCCCCCGAUGCCGACCCCACCGCGGCCCCCGCGCUGCUGGCUUGAAUCCUUCGGACCUUGAACCCCAUCCGUGCAGCGGCCUGCAUGGCCGCAAGUGCCCCAUCAUCCGCUCCAAUGGCUCCGGCCGCGUCCGCUGCGGCAGUAGCUGAGCCAGUGGCCUUGGCCGGGCCGCCUUCCCGCAGUUGUCCCCGCUCCUUGGUCUCCUCGCUUCCGUCCUGUGCCUGCGCCUGGUCCUGCCCCUGUUCAUGCCCCUGCCUCUGGCCCUGGCCCUGGCCCUGACUGCCCGCACUGGAGCUGCGCCAUGGGGCGGGCAGUGGCCCCAGAGGCCAGUGCCAGCCGCCCACACACACCGCAGCUCCGGGGCCUGAGCGGCGGCUGCCGCUGCCGGCACCGGCGCCAACAGGACCGGGCGGCACAGCACGUGCGCCCGGCUGCGGCUGCAGAUGCAGUGCGGGGUGGCGCGGGCGCAGCGGUGCACCGGCGCUCAGGGCCCUGUGGAAGCGGGCCGCGGUCCGGUGUGUGCAGUGCUGGUAUGGGAUGCCCUCGCCAGCUGGCCGACCAGUGUCACACAGCUACGCGCGGUUUCUGACGCACUGCACCUCGCCCUGGGCCCAUGGCCACCGAUCUCCACCACGAGCCCCCCCCCCACCACCGCCACCACCACCGCCACCACAAGCCCCCCGGCCCCCACCUGCCCCCCACCUGCAGGUCCUCAGGCUGCUGUCCUCCUCGUCGUCCAGCUCCGUCCACACAGCCAGCGGGCCGUCCGGGCGCCGCCGGGCCAGGCGCCCGUACCUGCAAAGCCAAACAGGGAUAGGCGGUUGAGCGACACCACAUGAGCUCACGCACAAUCGCAUCCUGCGAUCCAUCCUGCGAUCCAUCCUGCUCCCACGCUACAACCUGUACGUUCCCGUGCCUCCAAUCCCCACGCGACCUCCUCACCCGCACAUGCCCAGCUGUCCGUACCUGAGCUGGUCGUCCUCGAGAGCGUUGAGACACGACAUCGCCCCAAACCUGCAGUACACACAGCAGCAGCCACGCACCAGGUCGCGCGUACCACCCAUAUUGCAUUAACAAGCAUCUUUCUCACAGCUCAAACCCCGGUCGCGCGUUGCCGUACACCCCGACUCCCCCCCCCUGCGGACCCCACCUGGCGUCCCAUUGCUCCGCCGCCGUCAGCCGCGCGGCGCCGUACUCGCGGAAGGGCAGGUCCGCCGCCGAGCCCUCCCCCGGCCGCAGGAACAGGCGGCUGGGCAUGUGGCUGGGCGGCAGCGGCAGCCCCAGCGCCAGACUCGUGUACGUCAGGGCAUUGUACUUCACUGCCAGGCCGCUGCUGCCGCCGCCAGCCCCCUGGAUGUUGCGGCCGCCGCUGCCGGCUGUGCCACUGCCGGUGCCCAGCCCCGGCGGCGGCGGGUCGGCGAAGGGGUUCUCAAAGGAGCACAUGCGCUUGUUGAUGCUGAAGGCGUUGGGCGCCCGCUUCUUCUUCAGACCGUACCGCGACUUGCCACGGGCGCCCUCCAGGUAGGCACCACCGCCAGCAGCCGCCAGCGCGGCAGCGGCGGCGGCGGCGGCGGCUUCGCCGCCGGCUGUGCCGCCGCCGCCCUCGGCGCCGGGCUGGCUGCGAAGGCUGCCGCCGUUCCGCCACCACCCAUCCGCCAGAGCCUGAGUGGUGUUGAGGAGGGAAGAGGGCCCACCGGCGGCGGCUCCGCCGCCGCUGCCGCGAGAGGGCCCGGCCUGCCCGCCACCGGCCUCUGCGGCGACUAUUGCUGUGUCUGCCGCCGCCUCCAGACCCUCAUCUGCCGCCGCGUCUGCCACCUCACCCUCCUCCUGCUCCUCACCCUCCUCCUGCUCCUCGCCCUGCUGCUCCUCCACAGCCUCCUCCGCCUCGUCACCCAGCAGCGCGUCAUCUGAUCCGGUGCCGGAAUCCGAGCCAGACCCUGAGCUGCUUUCCGAGUCUGACCCCGAGCCUGAUCCAGAGCCCGAGCCGGGCUCUGACUCGGAGCCGGAUGCAGAGCUGGCUAGCGCGCCCUCCUGGUUGAGUGGCACCAUCAGAUCAUCAUCAUGGUCACCUUCCUCGCCAGCCACCCCGCCCUCGCUGUCGCUGUCGCUCUCGUCGUCGCUGUCAUCCGGCGGCGCCCCGUCGUCGUCGUCGCUCUCACCGCCGCUGCCGCUGUCUUCAGGCAGCCCCGCGCCCGAGUCCCAGCCUGUGCCCUCAUCACCGCCAGAGCUGCCCUCACCGCUGUCGUCGCCGUCGCCGUCGCUUCCGGGGCCACUGCGGCCACGGGCGAUGGCGCGCAGUGUGGUGAAGGCACCAGGCAGGGCGCCCAAGGCCGGCAGCGGCGCGGGCGCCCCUCGCCCCGAGCGUGGAGGCGCAGGAGGCCCGCCGCCUACACGCAAGGCCGUGCCGUGGACGCCAGCAGCACCAGCAGUGACCGCAGGCAUCUCCCCGUGUUGCUGACGCUGGCGUAUGCCCGCCGUGACACCCGCCAGCAGGCUAGCCAGCCCGCCAGCCCGGGCCAAGCCCGGGCCACCCCCGCCGCCGCCCCCGGCCCCGCCGCCCCCGCUGCCGCUGCCCAACGAGCCGGCUGGAGGUUGGGCAGUUGGCAGAGGCAGCCCCAGGACAGGUGCUGAUGCAGGCCCGACAUGCGCCAGAGGCGCAUCGGCAAAGCGCACAUGCUUGGCCGGCGGGCGCGCGCGCUGUGCACCAGCCACGGUGUCGCCAGCCGCGCCAUCGCCGGCGGGCGCACUCGCGUGCCCGAUGCGGCCAUGUCCGUCCGGCUCCUGCAUAUCUCCUAUGCACUCAUCAUGCUUCUACCGCCGCUGGCAAUCACAUGAAAUCGCUGUGAACGCCAUGGACGCCGACGCCACAAUGUUCAGGGUUUCAACGCUCUAGUAAGUUGCAGUGCAAAUAAACGAGAGAAACGAUGUUAAAUUGAAUGAAACAGGAAAGAAUGCUUGUGUCGACUUUGGCGCGCCAAAUUCUCAAAUGCUGUGCGCCCAGCACAAGAGAUAAGCUCUCAGGUCUAGCAUGUUCGUGUGCGUAUGCUAUAUAUGAUACUGAGGUGGGAAAUCCCCCAACGUCAAUUGUCGGCUGUCAGCGCUGCAUGGGGCGGCGCCACUUCGGCACGGCCCAAAUACACCCCAGGCCCCCUAGGCGUACCUUCUCCGUACCGCUUGCCGGCGAAACCCCGUAUUACCAGGAAUACCUUCAAGGCAAGCAGUUGAAGAGCAUCACGUGGCCCCUUGACACCCUGUUACACUGGUAACCCCGCAGUCUCGCUGCAGCAGCCAUCGGCCCACACCCGCUCGCAGCGACGCCGGCCUCUUUGAUGAUGUCAUAUGCGUUCGUAUUCGCUUUUGGAAAGCACUUCGGCUCGCACGGGCUCACGCGCCUGACAGCGCCUAAGACCAGAAGGAUCCAACCUUCAUGUCCGGAUUGGGGGUGCGGUGGGACAGGGUUAAGGCAGGUUGGCGAGGUCCCGUAGGGUGCAGCUGACGCCCAUACCCCAAGCAGACGGCAAACAAUUUGCAGCGGCAGAGCAGAAGUGCAUGGCUGGUCGAACGCCGGAGUUACUGUACCGACAAGUUGCUGGCUGGCUGGAAGUUUGCUGAUGCGCAUUCCUCACGCUCCGGGCGCCCGGCCAGGCGAUAGCGCCACACAGACACACCGCAACGCCACACUCGCGAUGCAGAGCCGCAGCGCACCUGCAGGAAGAUGACCAGCGUCCACGGAUGAGCACCAGAGGCAACCGCAGAGAAAAUGCAGAC
rnacentral:lncRNA from 1 species